CCUCCCUCCUCCCUCCCAGCUCGGCUGGCUGUACCUCUCCCCUCCUCACCAUAGCUGGGCACAGGGAGGGCUUCCUGUCUGCACCGCAUAGAGGGUCUCUGUCUGUCCGAGCAGGGCACCGGCUGGAGGACCGCCGCAAGGUACGGGGGAGCUGGGUAUCACCGGGUAUGGGUAUCAUUUCCAUGGCUGUCCUCUGGCUGCUCAGCCACUCCUCCCCGUGUUGGGCUGCGAUUCCCAUGAGACCCAUCCAGCCAUGGUGACUGAUUGUUAUGAGGAUCAUGGUCCAUGACAGCAAGAGUGUCAGAGAUCAGCCAUCACUGGCAGGCAGUGCCUGGAUACUGUGUGUGUCUGAACAAUCCUGUAAGAUGGUCGGCCAAUUCAAUACUGAGCAUUCAUGUAGCCCUGUGAUGGCUAUUACAGUGAUGGCAGGCUGUGCAUGCAGUGUGUACUGGCCAUUAUUGUGAUGGCAGGCUGUGCAUGCUUUGUGUUGUGCUGUGCGCUGGCAGGAUGUGCAUGCGGUGCACUGGCAGACUUUGCGUUAAGUGUGGUCUGUUGGUUUGAAAUGUGAUGACUAUUAGUGUAAUGACAGGCUGCACAUGUAGCUUUAUGUAGUUUACUGCUGUUGAUAAGUGUACUGACAGGCAGUGUAUUGAGUGUGCUGGCUUUUAAUAUAAUGGCAGACUUUGCAUGCAUUAUGUUGGCUAUUAGUGUAAUGACAGACUGCAUGCAGUGUGCAUGCUAUUUGGGCAAUGUCAGGCAGUGCAUGCAAUGUGUCUGCUACUAGAGCAAUGGCAGUUGGUGCAUGGAGUGUGCAGGCUAUUUGUGUAAUGGUUGGUGGCGGGUGCAGUGCGCCGACUGUUAGGGCAAUGGCAGGCGGUGCGCCGACUGUUAGGGCAAUGGCAGGCGGUGCGCCGACUGUUAGGGCAAUGGCAGGCGGUGCGCCGACUGUUAGGGCAAUGGCAGGCGGUGCGCCGACUGUUAGGGCAAUGGCAGGCGGUGCGCCGACUGUUAGGGCAAUGGCUUGCGGUGCGCCGGUUGUGAGGGCAAUGGCUUGCGGUGUGCUGGGCUGUCUGUUAGGGCAAUGGCAGAUACAGAAACAGCAAGUUGGACAUUAUAGUAGUAAAGUGAAAGGUAACGACAGUCUGGCAGUGGUACAGGAUGGUUGUGGUCUGUGUUAUGGCUGUGUUUUAAUACAGUGGGAUGGUUGUAUGCACUGUCAUGGUACAUUAAAGGAAAGAUGAAUAGUCAGAUGGUAGUGUGCAGUGUGUUGGUAGAGUAAUAGCAUGCAGUGCACAGGCAAUCUAUUGUUACAGCAUUGCAGGGUGCACAUUUGUUUGAUAUUGUGCAGUGUUACAGUAACGAUUUAGUGCAUUAAUACGACAUGGUACAGUGGUGGCAGUUUCAGCACUUUGGUAGUAAAAACAUCUGAACUUGAUGAAUGCCUAUUUUUCAGCCUACAUAUCUAUGUAUAAUGUGAUGUUGGUAUGAUCAGUUUGAUGUCAUGUUCAGUAUUGGAAUGACUGCCAUGGUAGUGAGUAGUUUCAUGGCUUUGCGUCAAUAUCCGCAUUAGAUCAAUGUGCACUGAAUGCACUCCGGUGUUCUAGAAGUGUAGUGCUACUUUAGCGUGAUAGUUGAAUGUGCUGACCGGAUGUACAGUAUUGGUAAUGUGGAAUGUGAUUUUGUAUUGUGUGUUAUGAUAGAUGGCCUGACUUCCCCAUGUUUUUCUGCACAAUUUAAGGACCAGUUUGGGUACCAUAACAACUUAAUUGAAGUUAAAUUGUUAUGGUGCCAGGAAGUCCCUGGGGUUGACUUAGCUUAAGGGGUUAAACCUUUCUCAUUAAAACUGGCUUUCAAAAGGGUAAAAAAAUUUUCAAGCCAGUUUUAUGAACUGGGAUUCACUGAUUGGCUGACAGCCUAAGCUGAAUGCUCUCAGCCAAUCAACAGUGCCACUGCCCGAUUCUGUAAGAGUCUUUGUAAUUUCCUGAUUUUUGAGAAAACGGAAGAACAGAGAGACAGAGUGAUUAUAGCACUGGUACACAGACUUUGGCCUUAAACAAUUUGAGAAUGGUUCAACAUCUUAAGUUGAGUCAGCACCAGGGACCUCCUGGCACCAUAACAACUUCAAUUUGAUUGCAUUGUUAUGGUGCCCAGAGUGUUCCUUUAAACUGUAUGUGAUUCUGUGGUGGCCCAUUGUGUUAAGAGCACUGAAAUAAUAGUAUUUACACAAAAUGUACAUUUGAAUGGGUUUUGUUGUAUUUGAGGUUUUCUUGGAGAAUAUACAUAUAACUGUUGGGGACCAGAGUAUGACCUAGUGGUGUUAGUGAAUUUGUAUGCGAGACACCAUGCACAAUGACUGCUAUCACUAGAUCCUAGUUCAGGUAAAAACUAUAUGGCAGUGUUUAUGCUAGAUGUUUUAGGGUAUUUUUCCUUAUUCCACUUUAUACUAUCUGAAUAUAUAUUUUCAAUACAGAAAAUGUUUUCUAAAGUCACAUGAGCAAUUGUAUACCAUAUUGUGUUGAUUGUCGAUGUUUAGUUAUUGACCCUAGUUAAAAAGGACAGAGCAUCAGUUAUGAUGUUUAGUUGUUGUUAUAGGGAUGUUCGGUGAGGGUUUUAUGUAGGUAGCUUUGCAAGUAUUUGCUCUAUUGAGCAACACAAAAAUGGCAAUGUAGAGAGCAGAAUGUGUCUGAUAUCACUGACAAUUUCAGCUGGUAGCUUGGCAGGCUUGUUUGGAACAAUUCAUUUUUUUCACUUGUCAGCUUAAGUAAAGGGUAGCUAAAAUAAUCUACCAAAGUGAGGCAGAGCAAGACCUCAACACCAGCAGGUUAUAAAAUCACUUAUUACAUCUAGCUGACAGUAGUGUUAAGAGGUCAUUGGGUACCAUCAGCAUGUGUAUUUAGUUUGGAUUAUCUGUAUUCUACUAGUAUAAAAAGGAGCAUUAAUUCUCAUCUUGAAAAUAUAAUUUUGCAUCUUUAAGACCACGCCUUGAAUAUUAUGUGCAAUUUUGGGCACCUGUUCUAAAGAAGUAUAUUUUUUGCACUAGAAAAAGUGCAGAGGUUGGGCUAUAAAAUUUAUAAAAGAAAUUGAGCAUUUUAGUUAUGAAGGUUAACAAAUGUACAUUUUUUUUUGUUUAGAAAAAUGGUGCCUCAGGAGGCAUAUGAUAGCAUUAUACAAAUAUAUUCAAUACAAACAGUUUAUGAAUCUAUUCAUAAACCGGAAUAUACGUAGGACACAAUGUCGCGCAUUUAGACUGGAAGAAAGGAGAUUUGGUCUAAGGCAAAGGAAAGGGUUUUACAGUAAAAACAAUAAGGAUACGGAAUUAUCAGAAUCUGUACAGAUAUUUAAACAUAAAAUGGAUGAAAACACUGCGGAUAUCUGUUGAGCUAUAUAAAUGGCAAUAAUAAUAAUUUCAAAAUCAUAAUAUUUUUAAUUUGUGGGGUUGUAGCUUCUUGAUCCAAGAAGAGAUCUGACUGCCAUUCUGGGGCCAAGAAGGAUUUUUCCCCUUAGUUUGAUAGAAAAUUGGAAAGCACCUCAAACUGUUUUUGUUUUGUUUUUUUGCCUUCUUUUGGAUCAACUGCAAAAAAAACCAAAAAAAACAUGGAAGAAAGACUGAACUUGAUGGACACAUGUCUUUUUUCUGCCUAUAUAUUUAUGUUUCUUAGACUUUCACAAAGGAAUAUGUACUUGUGUAGUUUUAAAGUGCUUACGUGUCUUCCUAUUACUUAUUAUGUAUUGUGGUCAGAUUGUAAUAUUGUCUGGUGGUUUUUGGAGUUAUACUCUUUUCUGUAAAUUUUUCAUAUGCUCAUAUGUAAGGGUUAUUCAUUAAACUGUGAAAUAUGAGGGAUUCAUCUGGGAUUUACACGUUUUCAUUCAAAAUAGUUUACGUAGAAACAUUCUUAAAGCUAGUUACAGUUUCACCUCUGCAAUUUUGGCUUUAAAUUACCAUUUCCAUAGUGAAUUGGAUUUGGCUUUAAUUUAGUAACCACUGAUGGAUUCCCAGCAGUUAAUCAUUUAGUGAAUAACCUGAACAGUUAUCAAGAAUUCAAAGAUAAUUUACAUUUUUAAGCGGAAAUAGCCUAACUAAAAACAUAUCGGGCUUUCUCAUUUUAUAGUUAUACUGUUUUAUCACACUAAAAAAUAAAAAAAAAAAAAAAAAUUGAUGUAAAGAAACUGUUGAUUCUGAGUCAAGCACAAUAUAUAUCUAUCUAAAAGUUAGGGUUUGAUAGUUUUUUUUUUUUUUAUAGAUUUCUUUUUAUAUAAAGGGACUCUAAAAGUGUUAGCAAUACAAACCUGAAUUGCUAACACUUUAGUGCCCCUGUCCUGUUCUUCCCCCAUCCCUAGUUUGAGCAUUGAGCGUUAAAUUUAAAAAAAAACCCACUUUUUUUAAAGCAUUAAAACUUCCCCAGAACGGCUUACCUCUUGUCAUCCCUCAUUGUGGAGCAGGCAUGACAUCCUCUGUAAUGGUCCAAUACAAUGACCAUUACAGAGCAGAACUGGGGACCUGCUGCAUUCCUAUGGGCUUCUGCGUUACGUGACCAGGUUCGCCUCUAGUGGCUAGAGGGGCAAUAACCCUGCAAUGUAAGCAAAGGACGUGGCCACUGUACCCAAACCACUCAAUGAGUUUAGAUGCUGGGCAAAACAUACAAAUUCCUUAACUCUUGCAGUGCUGUACCCAAACGUAUCUACGGCACUUCCCUGGUUGUCCGAGUGCACAUGAGCAUGCUUGAGGCAUCAUGGGUAGCAAAGUCCCCCAGAACAUAUAAGUGCAGUGGAGGUAAGUAUGUGUUUAUUUUAAUGACGUCUACUGCUUUUAUUUACCCAGUAAUUGCUAUAAUAUAAUUUAAAUCGCAAGAACUGUCGCUACUUUGGAAGUGACUGUUCCCUUUUCAAUGUAAAAUCUUAUAUCCGAUCAUUGUGAAUUUGUAUUUGCAUAAAAUUGUAAGUUUGUAAGCUCUUCACUGCUGUUUUAUUGUACCUACUGCUUAUGUGUUGAAUUCUUUUUACUAGGAAACUUGUUCAGUUUUUAUAUAAUAAAAAAGAUCACUACUGCGAUACAUUUUCUAGUCCCCACUAGGUAUUUAUAAGGGACCAGAAAGUUUAAAAACAAACAAUAAAAAAACCCACAGUGUUUUUGUAACAAGGCAAGGCUGCUUCACACUAACUGAAAUAUAAAUGAGUUACUUUAUUUCUUUAGCGUUGGGACAGAAUGAUUCAAAAUAUAUUACUUCUUUCAUUACAGUAAGAAAAGUUGCAGCAAGAGAUAUUCUAAGCAUCUAAAUGCAACCAUUCAUUUUAUAUAGUGUCAUUCAUAUGAUUAUCCCUUAGUUGUCUUUCAUGGAAAAUGAGUUAUGUUGCAAAAACAAAAUAAAGCUUAUAUUUUCCCAUAUAUUUUCCCUCCCCUUAUGGAUGAGUUCAAACAGCAUAAAGCAGUACAUAUAUCUAAAUGGACUCUAAAUUAUGUUUUGCCACACUUACAGAGAUAACACAUUACAUAAAAUUUUUAAGCCAUUGUAAAUGCAUCUGAAUGUGCCUCAUUUGUGGGAUAUACCUUACUUUUCUUGAAUAUUGAUCCGACUGUACGAUACCCACCUACCUUUCAGCUUAGAUUAUAUCAGUGCUGCAAAGGCUCUUGGCCCUUCCAGUUCUAGUAGCCAAGCCCCAUCUCGUUUGUCUGAUUGCCUUGACACGUACACCUCUGAGUGCUCCUAAUUUUGAUUCCUAGUUAAUGCUUCCCUGUUUUCUUUUCUAGAACUGUGUUGUGCCAACACUAGCGCUAUCCAUUCGGAUGUUAUUAAUAUUUUAUGGCAUGGUCUGUUUUAGGGAUCGACUGACAUAUAUAUAUAUAUAUAUAUAUAUAUAUAUAUAUAUAUAUAUAUAUAUAUAUAUAUAUAUAUAUAUAUAUAUAAUUUUUUUUUUUUUUUUAGAGCCAAUACCGAUAAUCUGUGAACUUUCAGGCCGAUAGCUUAGCGAUAUUCUGUACAUUUACCGUUUUUUUUUUUUUUUUUUUUUUUUUUUUUUUUUAAUUGGUAAAGGCACAAAUUAUACAUGCCAGUCAGAUUUUUUAUGUUUUCAAGAAUAUUUAUAUGUGUGUGUAGUGGAUGCAGUGAGAUUAUUUGAUUUAGUCAAUGCAGUGUGUGUGUUUGUGUAGUGGAUUCAGUGUGUGUGUUUGGGUAGUGGAUGCAGUGUGUUUGUGUGUAAAUAUGUGCGGUAGGAAAUCCCCUCCUCCCCACCCCUUACCUGUCUCUUAGUGCCCCCACUAUUCCCCUGUUCCUCUCCCUUCUUUUUUAGUGGUCUCCCCACCCUACCCCAGUGUUCCUUUUCCAUUUCCUCUCCUGUACCUUAGUGUCCUCCCUUAAUGUUCCUCUCUCCCCCGUAGUGUUCUUCACCCCACUCCAUUGUCCCGUAGUGUUCUUCACCCCACUCCAUGGUCCCGUAGUGUUCUUCACCCCACUCCAUGGUCCCGUAGUGUUCUUCACCCCACUCCAUGGUCCCGUAGUGUUCUUCACCCCACUCCAUGGUCCCGUAGUGUUCUUCACCCCACUCCAUGGUCCCGUAGUGUUCUUCACCCCACUCCAUGGUCCCGUAGUGUUCUUCACCCCACUCCAUGGUCCCGUAGUGUUCUUCACCCCACUCCAUGGUCCCGUAGUGUUCUUCACCCCACUCCAUGGUCCCGUAGUGUUCUUCACCCCACUCCAUGGUCCCGUAGUGUUCUUCACCCCACUCCAUGGUCCCGUAGUGUUCUUCACCCCACCCCAUGGUCCCUCAGAAUUUUUCAAUUUCACCCAUGGUCCCAAGAAGUGCCUUCACCCCACCUGUAGUGCUCUUCACCACCUACGGUCCCCAGCAGUGCUCUUCACCCCACCCAUGGUCCUAGUGCUCUUCACCCCACCCAUGGUCCCAAGAGUGUUCUUCACCCCACCCAUGGUCCCUCAGAAGUGUUCUUCUUUCACCCCACCCAUGGUCCCAGUGCUCUUCACCCACUCCAUGGUCCCCAGAGUGUUCCUACCCCCUGGGGUCCCGUAGUGCCCUUAACCACCCCACCCCGGGUCCCAGAGCCUUAACCACCCCCACCCCCCGGGGUCCCUGAGUGCUCCUUAACCACCCCCACCCCUCGGUCCCGUAGUGUUCCUUAACCACCCCCACCCCCGGGUCCCAGAGUGUCUUUAACCACCCCCACCCCCCGGUCCCCGAGUGUUCCUGUUCACCCCACCCCGGUCCGUGUUCCUUAACCACCCCCACCGGUCCCUUUAGUGUUCCUUAACCACCCCGGGUCCUCGUAGUGUUCCUUAACCACCACCCUCACUCAGAGGUGUUCCUGAAUCCUCCCCACCCCCGGGUCCCGAGGUUCCCUAACUCACCCCCACCCCACCCCCUGGUCCCGGUGGGUGUGUUCCUUCCCGUAGUGUUCCUUAACCACCCCCACCCCCGGGUCCCGUAGUGAGUGUUCCUUAACCACCCCCACCCCCGGGUCCCGUAGUGUUCCUUAAUAGGGAUCGACCGAUAUUGAUUUUUUUUAGAGCCGAUACCGAUAAUCUGUUAACUUUCAGGCCGAUAGCCGAUAACUUGCCGAUAUCCUGUACAUUUACAAUUUUGAAAAAAAAACUAUUUCUAAAAGGUAAAUGCACAAAAUAUAAAAGCCACAUGCACUGGAUGCAGUGUGUUUAGACAGUGGAGCUGUGUAUAUUUGUGUAGUGUGUAUAUAUAAUGAAUGCAGGGUGUGUUUGUGUAGUGUGUAUAGUUAAUGCAGUGACUGUGUAGUGUGUAUAUAAUGAAUGCAGAGUGUGUGUUUGUGUAGUGUGUGGUGUAUAAAGGGAAUGCAGUGUGUGUGUGUAUAGUGAAUGCAGUGUGUGUAGUGUGCGUAUAGUGAAUGCAGUGUGUUUGUAUAGUGUGUGUAUAUAAUGCCUACAGUGUGUAGUGUGCGUAUACAAUGUAGUGUUUGUAGUGUGUCUGUGUAUAUAUGAUGCAGUGUUUGUAGUGUGUGUGUAUAUAUGAUGUAGUGUGUGUGUAUAUAUGAUGCAGUGUUUGUAGUGUGUGUGUAUAUAUGAUGCAGUGUUUGUAGUGUGUGUGUAUAUAUAAUGCAGUGUUUGUAGUAUGUGUGUGUAUAUAAUGCAGUGUGUGUGUGUGUGUGUGUAUAUAUAAUGCAGUGUGUGUAGUGUGUGCAUUAAACACACACACAUACACUACAUUAUAUACACACACACUACACUAUAUACACACUCUGCGUUAUAUACAGAAUGUGUAGUGUGUGUGUGUAUAUAAUGCAGUGUGUGUAUAUAAUGCAGUGUGUGUAUAUAAUGCAGUGUGUGCAUUAUAUACACACACACACACUAAAUUAUAUAGACACACUGCACUAUAUACACACUCUGCGUUAUAUACAGAGUGUGUAGUGUGUGUAUAUAAUGCAGUGUGUGUGUGUGUUUUCCUGAAGGGAUGUGAUUUGUGUGAAAUGGGGUGGGGGGAGGCAUAUUUUAAUUUUUAAUGUUUGUUUUAUUUUUUAAUAUUUAAGUUUAUUUUUAAUAUUUGUUUAUUUUAAUUUUUAAUAUUUGUUUAUUUUUUUAUGCUUAUUUUUAAUAGUUAUAUUUUAUUAUUUUUGUUGUCCCCCCUCCCUGCUUGUUACCUGGUCAGGGAGGGGGGAUAUGACAGUCCCUGGUGGUCCAGUGGCAUUGGCUGAGCUGGGGGGGGCCGCAGGUAGCGUUUACUUACCUCCCCUCCAGCUCCCAGUGUAAAUCUCACGGCCCUUAGUGCCUGACGGCCGCGGGUCUCGCAAGAUUUACACUGGGAGCUGGAGGAGCUGCAGGGGAGGUAAGUAAACGCUACCUGGCGCCGGACCGCCGGGCUUGUAAUGAGCCUGGCGGUCCUAGGAGGUAUUAUCGGCAAUAUCGGUAUCUGAAUUGGCCGAUACCGAUAUUGCCGAAAAUACCAAAUAUCGGCCGAUUAUAUCGGUAAAACCAAUAAUCGGUCGAUCCCUAUUCCUUAACCACCCCCUCCCCCCGUCCCAUAGUGUUCUACCACCUUUGUCCCAUUGUGAUCCCAAAUCCCCAUCCCUUAGUGUCCCUCUGUGUCCCUCUCUCUCCCCUCCCUUGUCCUUGCUCCCCGGUCUCCUGGUAGCUUGGCAUAGCGGAGCAGUGCGUACUGCGGUACAGAAGAUACAUUCUCCUGUACCCGGCCGGACUGACAGGAAGAGCUCUCUCAGUAAGCACUUCCUUUCCGUCCGGGCCGGGUACAGAAAACAUAAGUUCCUGUACCGCGGUACACACUGCUUUGCUCGGCCACGCUACAUAGAGUGACUAGCAGGAGGGAGUGUUGUGCGCCCACCUCCUGCCGGUCACUCCGAAACCCCCUACCCCCCCCCCACCGGUGUUGCCGGUGAUUAUCGGUCGAUCACUAGUCUGUCUAGUGUAAUGUUUACUUAUACCAUUUAUUAUAUGUAUCUGUGAGGUUUUAAAAAUUAAAUUAAAUUUAAAACUCUCUGUAAAGUAUUGUUAUAAGCUCUGUGUUAAGACCUGCAGUGGUUAUAGUGCUGUGGUCUUCUGUUCCCUUUCCCAACAGCUGAGCAUGAGUGAUUAUAGCUGCAGCAGGGAGUAGAGGAAUAAGGUAGAUGAAAUGAAGUUCCAAGGUGAUUCUUCCCAGCAAAUAGAAUAUCCCCCAAACAUGAGCCUAGACUUCAUGAAGGGUGUAACAGGAAUUAAUUUUAUUGACACACAAGGGCUUUUAUGAGAAAUCCUUCUGCAAGAGGACCUCCCACAGCAAACAAAGACAACAGCCAAUCAACAUACAUAUUUACAGUAAUACACGCCUUCUCUCUGCCUGGGAGAUAUUGAGAUAAGGUAAGGAAUAAACCAAUUAUCUCCAGACAGAGAGCACACAAUUUCCCCAAAACUCAGAACACCCCUUUCCCCACCAGGUACCCCCACAAAUUACAUAUGCGGCACAAAAGUCCUGAAUGGAUCCCCCUGGCUCAUAGUAGCGAUUGUUCCUCUUGUCCGUUCGCACAGAACUACCGAAUGGCGCUUCCGUGGCUGUUCUGGAAAUACAAGAAGCCGGCAUUCGGUAGUUUCAGCGGUGGUUCGCGAGGUUGAGUGUCCGAUUUUAGUUCCAGACACUCGACGACCAAGUCCCGCUGACUCCCCUCGUGUGAACAAGAUGGCCUCCGUUUUCUAUUCCACGUGGCGUUCGGCUGUACGAACAGCGGCCGCCCUGGGAGCACUUAAUAACUGUUUCCUUUGUAAUUAAUUGCACUUGGCAGUCCCAAUAAAGAAAGAAGGUGACUUAUGUGCCCUGGUUGUGCCUGGACUGUGAUGUUAUUUGCUAAAUCUCUAAUGUAAAUUCAAUUUUUUUUUAUUUUUUUUUUUAAAUGGGGUGUCUUUUGGGUGUGUUUUUUUUUUUAUAUAUUCAAUGGUGUGAUUUCCAGAGAAGGAACAGUACAUCUUUUGAGACAAUUUUUUUUUUUAUCUUCCAGUAUUUCUGUAUAGUUCAAGAUCAUUAUACUGAUGCUUAUGAGUUACCAUAUAAUUUUGCCACCAAUAUUUUGUCAUCUCUCCUUAAGUGCAAAUCUGCUAUUUUCAUUCGUUACGUCAUCAGGAAAGUUUCUGAAGUCAAGUCUUAAUAUGUUGAUAAAAGUGGAUGUAAAAGUGAAGAUUACACAAAAACCUCAACCACCUGCUGAGUGGAUCUGGUUCCUAAUACCUGAUAAGAUUUUUUUUUUUUUGCCUUAAAUUUUUAUGUUUAUAUAUUAAAUUGAUAGCUCAACAUCCCUCCCCCCCCUCCAAUAUAACCCUUUAAAAGGACACUCCAGGUACACUCAUCAACAUCCACCUAUUCAGUGAUUCUUUAGAAAAGCAAUGGACGUAUUGUCCGAUGUCCGCACUCUGCAUGCUGUUUACAGACAUCAAAUAGACUCCCGAAGAUGUUUAUUGCAACGGUUUCCAUAAUCUGUUCCUUCUUGAAGCAUUAUUAUAUACGCUUCAGUGAGCACCUCUCGAUAUUCUGAAACUCGCAACAUUACCGUGAUUUCAAAGCAAACUUUAGCGUAGUGAGCUAAAAAAAAACAAAAACAUACAUUGAAAUCCCACGCUCCCUUCCUUUGCUCCAUUAUAGGUUGAGGUGUCUAGCAGGAAAUAUCCUUUAGUAUGCAGAUCCUAUUUCACUCGCUAAAAAAAAAAAAAAAAAGAAUGAGUUUUAAGCACAACUGAAGAGAAAUUAGUUGUGGUUACUACUCAUUUGUGCAAAAGGAUCUCAUUUACUAUUUUACUAUUCGGAGCACGCAACGGCCCGGUAUGACAGUCUUAUAUAGAGUGUAGGUGUUACGUCACGCUUGUUCUUAAAGUAACCACGUCAUCAUUACGAUCCUAAUCUAUUUUUAGUCGAAAUGAUGAUGUGGACCAAUCAGUUCACAGGUAAGUAUAUUUAAGGCUUGCUUUGGCCCCUAUUCAUUGCCCUAUCAUGAUUUCUGUUAGAUCCUCGUUUAUUGCUCUUAGAGAUUUUGUGUGUUUGACCUUGGCUUUGUAUUUGACUUGUGAUUUCUGGUAUCCUGACCCAGCUUUGUCUUGACUGAAUAUUUCUGCAAUCUUGACCUUGAUUUAUCUUGACUUUGUUUCUUGUUAUAUUAAUACAUUAAGUCUGUCCAUUCUAAGGCUAGGUAAUACGUCUUUCAGAUCCACCUGUCAUGGGUUUCCAUUUUCCUGCGUGUUGGGGUAAGAGAUAAUGAGAACUAUGAAAGGACUGUGUCACAAAAACUAUGGGUGUGAAGAGUUGAAACAAGUGUCAAAGCAGCAGCAAGUUCUAGAAGAGUCAGUGUGGAGUAGUAGCCUUUGGACUUAGCCGCUAUUAGAGCAUUGGUUAAUAUAGUCAGAGCAGCCUUUGUGGAAUGUAGGGUGGGGGACGAAAACCUGAUUGAAAAAGGUUGAGUAAGUUAAGAAAGUGUGUCAGAUGUUAUAUUAGCUGUAAUGCAAAACUCCUUAAAAUAUUUAAAAUCUACUUUAGUUAUUAGAAGGGGAAAAAAGCAUACGAAAAACAUUCAUCAAUAUAAAAAGUGUUUCAAAAUGUGUAAAGUUAAUUUACAGCAUUAGGAAAGUUAACUGAUCAAUUUCUGAAAACUUAGGGUGUAUUCAGUCAGGGUAUAUCUUAACGUGGACAUCAUACAACACCCACUACAUAACACUCCUAUCACAAAGCACCCUCUACCACAUUAAACCCACUACUGUAUUUCACAUUAUGCAGUAUGUGAUAAUGCUCCUAUUCCAUAUCACACAUUCUCCUUUAAAGGGACACUAUAGUCACCAGAACAACUACAGCUUAUUGCAUUUGUUCUGGUGAGUAGAAUCAUUACAUUCAGGCUUUUUGCUUGUAAACACUGUCUUGCAGAGAAAAUGCAGUGUUUAUAUUACAGCCUAGAGAUAACUUCACUGGCCACUCCUUAGAUAGCUGUUAGAGAUCCUUCCUGGGUCAUGGCUGCCUAAAAUGCAUCCAAACAUUCAGUAUCUUCUCCUUCUGCAUGCAGACACUGAACUUUCCUCAUAGAGAUUCAUUGAUUCAAUUCAUCUCUAUGAGCAGAUGCUGAUUGGCCAGGGCUGUGUUUGAAUCAUGCUGGCUCUGCCUCUUUGUCAGUCUCAGCCAAUCCUAUGGGGAAGCACUGUGAUUGGAUCAGGAUACCACUUCUGAUGAUGUCAGCAGACUGCUUGUUUUUUUUUUUUUUUUAGGCAAACAGCAUGCAGAGUUACAGCUUCUGGCUUGAAUACAGUAAGAUUUUGAUAUAUUUAUGGAGGCAUGAGGGGCCCAGGGGGGCUAGAUGGUGGUUUUAACACUAUAGGGUCAAGAAUACAUGUUUAUGUUUCUGACCCUAUAGUGAUCCUUUAACCCCUUAAGGACCAAACUUCUGGAAUAAAAGGGAAUCAUGACAUGUCACACAUGUCAUGUGUCCUUAAGGGGUUAAAGCAUUAGUUCCAACAUGUUCUCUAUUCUAUAUACCGUAUAUACUCGAGUAUAAUUCGAGUUUUUCAGCACAUUUUUUGUCAUGGUCUGUAUUAUGGCAACUUACAUUGUCAUAAUACAGACCAGGACCGCCGGGCUCAUUACAAGCCCGGCAGUCCUGUUGGGGGCUGGCAGCGAGCUGCAAUUUACCUUUCCUGCAGCUCCUGUCAGCUCCCUUCUCUCUCCUCCGGUCCGUCAGCUCCCCUGUAAGUUUCGCGAGAGCCGCGGGGUCAGAGCGUUGCCAUGGGUUACCGUGCCAACGCUCCGCGCGGCGCUCAGACCGCGAGACUUGCAUUGGAGCUGACAGGGGAGCUGACCGGACCAGAUGAGAGAGAAGGGAGCUGACAGGAGCUGCAGGGAAUGAGAGCCCCCUCCCUGGCCAGCUAACAAGCGGGGAGGGGGGACGAAUAAAAAGAAAUAAAAAUUUAAAUAAUAAUAAAAUAUUAAUAAUAUUUAAAAAAAUAAUAAUAAUAUAACAAUAAAAUAUUAAAAUAAUAAUUAUAAUAAUUUUUUAAAAAUAAUAAAAAUGCCCAUCCCCCACCAAAACUCUGCAUCACACACACACACUCUGCAUUGACACACACACACUGCAUUCAUUAUAUACACACACUGUAAAUAAAUAUUCAAUUAAUAUAAUUUUUGGGGGGAUAUAAUUUUAUUUAGAAAUUUACCAGUAGCUGCUGCAUUUCCAACCCUAGUCUUAUACUCGAGUCUAUAAGUUUUCCCAGUUUUUGGGGGUAAAAGUAGGGGUCUCGACUUAUAUUCGGGUCGACUUAUACUCAAGUAUAUACGGUACUCAUAAUGCAAUACCGUCUUUCCACAGCUAUUUUUUUUCCAAUCUUGAAAUCAAUCUCUUCAAACUUUUAGUCGUACCUUUAUUCAACCAUGUCCAUUCUCCCUUACAGAUAUUGUAAGAAUUCCCUUAGGACUCACAAUGGAAAUUCCACCUUUGUCAUAGUAAUAUUUGCUCAUCAUUUGCCCCGUUCCACCACACACCUUGUCACUUAUUCCCCAGUAAUGGUCAUUUUGCACUCUAACGCACUCUAUCCUCAGACCUAUUCUGCCUCUGCUGCUAGUCUAUCCCUUGCACUAUUGCUGUCCGCAGAAACAUAAAAAUUUCCCACCACCAGAGUUCAUUACCAAUAGAUACAUUCUAUCUUUUCCUCUCUAUCAUUCUGAAAUACCACGUAUCACUCCCAUAUAUUGGCACUUACAUUAGCUGUGUGUCUAGUGGGGUCUGUGCUCUGCUGCCCCUGUUUGGGAAGGGGACCUCUUGAGCAUCAACAGAGACUGUACCACCAGUAGAGUGAUAAUGAGAAGGAUAGGCAGAGAGGAUAUAUUGUAACAUCCACAGUUGUUUGAAGAAAAAUAAAGGGCAGAAAUUUGUUUGAUUGGGUAAUUUACACAAGUUAGCAUGAGUCAGAGGUGAGUAUAUGCAACGUUAAAAUGUUAAUGAUUUAUGACAAUAUGAUUUAGUUGGAAGCCAGGCCAACAAUUGUGAAAUGUGAAUAGUGUGUCUACUAAUUGUUAUUGUCAGCAGUCAUCAUGCUCUUACAUCUCAAUGAAGAUUUAACCUUAAAAUGUAAAACAUUGCUGUUUUUUGUUUCUUUUUCUUCUCUUCCUUUUAAAAGCAUUGUUUACAAUGCAGGAUUUUACCACAUCCCCAGUUGCUGUCAAACUGACAGGCACUGGAGGCUCUUCCAGCUGCAGUAACAGCAUAAUAUGUGGUCAUGUGACUGCAGCCUUCAUAGGAAAGCAUUGAUUCCUUGUUUUACUAUGGGGAAAUCUGAUGCUGCUUGCCACACGUGUAUCUACUCCCCAAAUGAUCCUAUAUUGGACCAACCACGGAGUCCAUGCGUCAUAAACGCAGCGGGGGGAGGACAGGUAGGCAGCCUAGGUGAUGGAAAAAGGUAAGUAAAACUUCUAUUUUUUAUUUUUAUUUAGCUUAAAGGGGAAGGGGGAGAAAGGGAGCGCUAGACCCAGAUAUAGGAACACUAAAGCUUUAGGAAUACACAUUUGUCGUCUUAACGCUUUAAUGUUCGCUGCUUCUGCGCUCUGCAUUAACUUUAUUUUUACAGAGCACGUCACUUGCUCAACUAGAAUUUUUUUUUUUUUUAAAUUAAAGAAAAUAUCAUAACAAGAACAAACAAUAAAACCCAUACAGUCAUUUAAAAAAAAAAAAUUAUAUUUAUUUUAAGGUGAAAAACAUUUGCAUGUAUGCUAGAAAUCUCCAUUAGUGUGCAUAUUUGGUUACAGGUACUAGUCAAAUUAUUUGAAUAAAUAUGUAAAAUGGAAUUAUUUUAUCAUGUGUGUCUUAUUCCAUUUUUGAAUCCCAGUGACUAUUGCUCUUUAUAAAAUAUUCAUGGACUCCUUUACUAUUUCAAUUAAAAUUUAUGGAUUCUUAAAUAUAACUUGUCAGUCUAUCCAUUUGUAGGAUUCUAGAAACAAACCGCACGGUUACAUAACCAGCAUAUUACAACCAUUUUCCCUUUGCGUAGAAUAUUCCACUAUACUGGAAUUCUUGAGAGCCUUUGCCAGCCACGUGUAUUUGUCUGUUAAUGAGUUAUUGGACUUGAGAUCACAGAUUGUGAUCCAUUACUUGACUUCUACCCCAUCAGUAUGUAGAUAGUAGGAUAGAUGUUUUAUAGACUCAAGCAGUGCAGGCUUUCAAGUUAAGCUCAGUUGAAUGUGUAAUAGUCUAGCCCCAAUACAUGUACAUGUUCUCAGUCUUUCAAUCGUCUGUGGUCUUUAAAACGUUGGUUUCAAUAUUAUUUUUUGUUACUAUACGUAUGAAUAUGGAUCUGACUCAUAUUGCACCUAGAAUGCCAGAGCUUGCACUCAUGCAACCAUAAUUUUAAAGGCCUUCAUUUUUGGGAGGUCUUACGUAUCGGCUAUGUAAUUUGAUGUUAUUAGAGUGCAAUUUACAGAGUUUUAGCCUAAUAACAACUCAAGGAAAUAAAAAAUAAAUCAAAAACAACAACAAAAAUCUUUGCCCUGUGUAAUUUGAACUGCUGGCGUUUUCUCUCUACGGUUGAUCAAUUUCAGUGGAUUUUGUAUUGAGCUGGCCAGUGUACACAUUUGCUUUUAGUUCCAAGAAGCCGCCUCCAAGCUUACAUAAAAAAUAAUUGUAUGACAACACAUCAAGCUAAUGAUUUUUAUUUUUUUGAAGCAAACAUCUCUGGAUUAUUCUUGCAUUGUUUUUUUUGGCGGGGGGGGUUUUUCAACCUUUUGUAAGCAAAUUUAUUUGAGAUUAAAUCUGUCUGCUAUGCUUUUUGGAUGAUCUUUGAAUUUACAACCAGUAAUACAUACUAAAAUAAGAAAUGCCGAGUGAGAUUUGCAAUGGUAAAUAUCAUCCCUCACAUCACCUCUGUUUAUUAGGAAAUAAAUCCCGAAUUUAGAGGAUUGACAUAAUCUAUGCAUAAAACAAGCUGCCUUGAUAUAUACCAAUAAUUCAAGAUGUAUAUAAAAUAAAAAAGCUAAAUUGCCCUAAACAUCAUCUAAGUACUUUAGAUAUAUGCAUUGGUGUCUUUCAGCUGGUACUUCAUAGGAAUUAGAAGUGGUUGUCUGUCACAAUUCAUUGAUAAGUUAAUAAGAGCUCAAAAUUUCAAGUCCUAUUGCAGAAGCCAAGAGUAAACAUUACUCACUGCUGCAAAGCACCUUGUGUUUUUUUACUUCUAGGAAUGAAUAAUGUAGCAGCAGGCGCAAUAGCCCUCCUGUAACGUAAACUAUGAUUUAAAUGUUAAAGGAACGCCAUAGCGUUAAGAAUACAAACUUGUAUUCCUAACGCUAUAGUGCCAGUUUGCAGAAUUUUACUUACCUUUCCUCCAGCGUCUAGACUACCAUGGCGUAAACUUAUGUGCAUGUGCUGCAAGUGCCCCAUGUAUCCAAAUGCUUCACAUAAGAAAGCAUUGAAUCGAGGAUGUAUGACCUCCACCGAUGCCCAGUGCAUUGCUCUUCAUAGAGGAACAUAUUGAAGCCUCACCAUAGGAAAGUAUUAAAUCAAUGCUUUCUUAUGGGGGCUCCCGCAUCACAUAACCCUGUUUUACUCUGUCAGUACCGUGGAAGCACCUAUAAUUGCUGUCAGUAUGACAACCACUAGAGGAGGAAUUAACCCUGCAAUAUAAACUUUGCAGUUUCUUAAUAACUGCAGUGUUUUUUAAAUUGUUGAGUUACAAGUGCAGGACCAUUGCACCAUGGCCACUUUUUUUUUUUUUAGGUGAAACGGCAUGGUUGACUUUAAUGGUUCUUUAGUCCCAGUGCACUUAAUCAAUACUUAAUUAACUUUGCAGUGAUUUAUAUUUAUUGGUUUUUAAGUGUCUGUGCUUAAGUGGACGUACAAAAAAAGAGGAACUUACACAUGAGCUCUCUCCCCCUAUCUAUCAGCCCCACUGAUAUUGCUGAACUACAACUACCAGUUGUAGGCCACCAAUGUGUGGAGGCUAGAAUUUAAGAUCUAUAUUUUAAAAUAUUAUUGUUUAAUGUCUUGGUGGUAGAGGUGUAGUCCUUUUUAAUAAGAGAAUCCUUACAGGCAGUGGAGGUGCUAAUGGCUCAUUCACCAAUAGCAAGUGGAACCCUAGUUUAGCCCUGCAUUAAUCAUUCUGCAGAUUUAACUAUUUUGCUCACAAGGCUAUUAAUGGAAUUCAGAGACGUGAAAAAAAACAAGCAAAAAAUAAAACAUUAAAUAUAUUCUGUAGACCUACCCCUUCCCCUCUGCGGAGAAUAUAAGAUGUAUUGCCUGUAUGUUUUUUGUCUUUGUUGUCUUAGGAUGAUGUCCUACAUGGUUUUUUAUUAAAUAUAUCAAUAUGUUAUUAAAGGGACACUAUAGGCACCAGAACAACUACAGCUUAUUGAAUUUGUUCUGGUGAGUAGAAUCACUACCUUUUUGCUGUAAACACUGUGUUUUCAGAGAAAAUGCAGUGUUUACAUUACAGCCUAGUGAAAACUUCACUGGCCACUCCUUAGAUGGCUGUUAGAGAUCCUUCCUGGGCUAUGGCUGCCUAAAAUGCAUCCAAACAUUCAGUGUCUCCACCCUCUGCAUGCAGACACUGAACAUUCCUCAUAGAGAUUCAUUGAUUCAAUUCAUCUCUAUGAGGAGAUGCUGAUUGGCCAGGGCUGGGUUUGAAUCAUGCUGGCUCUGCCCCUGAUCUGCCUCUUUGUCAGUCUCAGCCAAUCCUAUGGGUAAGCAUUGUGAUUGGAUCAGGCUACCACAACUUAAAACUUCAAGCUACAGUAAGAUUUUUACUAUAUUUAAUAUACUAUACUAUAUUUAUGGAGGCGUGAGGGGCCCAGGGGGGCUAGAUGGUGGUUUUAACACUAUAGGGUCAGGAAUACAUGUUUGUGUUCCUGACCCUAUAGUGAUACUAACUUCCGCUGGGCGGGGCGUGCUAUUCGUCUAUUUUGAAACUUAGCGCGUAAUAAUGCAUACUCAGUUUUUUUUACUUGCAGUACUUGUGAUCCCGCCCGACAGCCCAAUGGUGAGGCUCCCAGGAGCCCCGGUGGCAUCAACCUCCUGCGGCCCCUGGCCAUGUGAGGUGAGGUCCUUGCGAGGAACCUCACAAUCUAUGGCGAGACUUCUUUAGCUGCUGCAUUGCCAUCAGGGGACUGCCCUGCAAUGACGGAAAGUAGUCCCACUGCUGGCUGAAAUAAAAUAAAUUAAGAGUUUAAUAAGUGUAAAAAAAAUUAAAAAUAAUAUUUUAUAUAUAUAUAUAUAUAUAUAUAUAUAUAUAUAUAUAUAUAUAUAUAUAUAUAUAUAUAUAUAUAUAUAUAUAUAUAUAUAUAUAUAUAUAUAUAUAUAUAUACUUAUAUAUAUAUAUACCUUACACACACACACACACACACACACACACACACACACACACACACACACACACACACACACACACACACACACACACACACACACACACAGUCUGUGUAUGUCUGUCUAGAGUAUAUUUUUACUAUUAGCUUAUAUAUAUAUAAUCAAAAUUACCGUAGACUGAUAGCCGAGUAAAUAUAUAUAUAAUAUAAUAUAAAAAAAAAAUGUAAAUCGUUAAAAAAAUAAAAUUACUUAAGAAAAAUAUUUAAAAAUAAAUAAUUAAAAAAUAUAUAGAUGUAUUUAUUUAAGUUCUAACUUUGUAUUGUGAUAGCCAAUAUAUAUAUAUAUCAAAAUACAGUAGAACAAAAUAAUAUAAAUCUAUAUACAUAAAUAUAUACAUUAUAUAUCACUAUAUAUAUAUCUAUAUAUCUAUAAAUAAAAUAUUUUAAAAAUUAUAUAUAUAUAUAUAUAUAUAUAUAUAUAUACACAUCGUAUAUUUAUAUAUACAUAUAUUAAUUCUACAUAUAUAUUUAUGUAAUAUUUUUACACAAUUAGGUAUCUUAAUUAAUUACAAUUAAGCGGGACCUGCCUGACAACCCAUGCGAAAGUAAAAGAAUUUAAUUUGCUAGCACUAUAUUUAACCUAUAACUUUCCAAGACACCAUAAAACCUGUACAUGAGGGGGUACUGUUCUACUCGGGAGACUUUACUGAACACAAAUAUUAGUGUUUCAAAACAGUAAAAUGUAUUACAACGAUGAUAUCGCCAGUAAAAGUGAGUUUUUGCAUUUUUCACACAAACAGCACUUACGGACAAUAUUAUUGCUGCGAUACUUUUUACUGUUUUGAAACACAAAUAUUGUGUUCCAAAUCUCCAUGUACAUUUUCAGUAUUUCAAAGAUUACAGCGUCAAAUAUAAGGCUUGUGUUUCAUUUUUUAACAUUAAAAUUCACCAGAUUGGUUGUUUGCCUUUGAGACCUAUGGUAGCCCAAGAAUUAAAAUUACCUAUGAUGGCAUAUCAUUUGCAAUAGGAACAGCCCAAGGUAUUGCAAGCGGGGUAUGUCAGUCUUUUUAGUAGCCACUUAGUCAGAAACAUUGGCCAAAAUUGGCGGUUUUUGCAUUUUCACACACAAAUACUAGCUAACUUUGGCCAGUGUUUGUGACCAAUAACUAUAAAGGACUGGACAUACCCCAUUGCAAUACCUUGGGUUGUCUACCACAAAUGAUAUGCCAUUAUAAUUAAAUUUCAUUCCUGGGCUACUAUACGUCCCAAAGGCAGCGUAAGCUAUCUGGCCAUUCAAUUUCAAAUGUAGCGUUAUAUUUGACCCUGUAACUUCCCAAAAACACCAUAAAACCUGUACAUAGGGGGUACUGUUUAACACGUGAGACUUUGCUGAAUACAAAUAUGUGUAUUUUAUUGCAGUAAAGCAAACAGUAUUAUAACAUUGACGUUAAAAUGUCAAGAACUCUUAUUUUCUCCAUUUUUUCAUAUUAAAUUGUUUUUCAUAGCUAAAUAUUUGAUAUUAAAUGAAAGCCCUGUUUCCCUGAAUAAAAUUGGCUGCAUUUAAUAUGAAAAGAAGUGAAUUACGGUUGGACAGACAUGUAAGCGCAAAUGCCAGGUUUUGUUUACAUUUUUGUUUUGCAUUUACGCAGCGUGUACAUUUUAGUUUCUUCCUUAACCCCUUUAGGGCCGAGGGUGUGGGGCGAGGUCCGUCUGGAGAACCCUUAAUGGCGAAUUGUGGACGCAAAUAAUCGCGGUAAAUAUUAAUCCCAGAUGGCGAGGAUUAAUGGUGCUUCGGUCUGCCUCUGUAUUUAGAGGCAGACCAGGAGCACCCGGUCAGGCUUUUUUUUUUUUUUUUACACUCAGGGGUUAAAUUUAAUUAAAAUAUUUUAAAAUUUUAUAUUUAGCUGGGGUGGGUGAAGUUAGUGGGGAAUCGGGGGAUUUGGCGUUAGGCUAACUAGGGGUUAACGUUAAAAAAAAAGUUUUAAAAUAAACUUUAAAAAUUUAACAUUAUUUAAACUUUUUUUUAAGCUUAAGUAAAAAAAAAAACACCCCUCUUUACCCAGUCCAAAUAAAAAUUAACCCCUUCCCUGCCAGUCGAUCACUGCCUACAGUGAUCAAAAUACAGAUCACAGUAGUAUACUGUGAUCUAAUUUUUUUAAACCCCUGAGGAUUAACUUAUUUUAUUUAACUCUCAGGGGUUCAAUUUAUUUAAUUAAUUUAAAUAUUUUACUAUAUAUUUGCUAGCUGGGGUGGGUGGGAGUUAUUGGAAAAUGGGGAAUUUACUGUUAGUGCUGCUUAAUGCUAGUUAGGGGUUAAUUGUAAAAAAAAAAAAAGCUUAGAAAAAUGUUAAAUCUGUAAGACAGUUAAGAAAGUUAAGGAAAGUUUAGGAAAGUUUAAAAAAAAUUAAUAAGCAAAACAAAAGUUUAAAAACUAGUUUUUAAAAGUAAAAAAAGUAAAAAAAAAAGUAAAAAAAUACAUUUUAAAGACGCUCAUUACCACUACACCUGGAACAAGACUUGGUCUCCUAUAUGGCACUGUAGCUUCACAAAAUAGUGCCAAAGACAUUCAUUGGGGGGGUCUUUUUACUCAGAAGACUUAGCUGAGCAUAAUUUGGGAGGUUUGAACUUAGUGGCACAUAUGAAAUAUACAAAACGCCCAGCAAAAAUGCAAUCUGUAUGUAAAAAAUGCACACAAUUAUUUUUUUUCCACAUACUUUGGCAUAUAUUGGUGAAAAAAUGGAGGUAUGUUAAGGCACAAUAUGCACCUUAUGAGAUACCCUGGAGUGUCUACUUUUACAAAUGGUAGGCCUUUGUGGGGGUUUUUUGAACAGUCAAACUGUUAUAAUACCCCAAAUGGAAGCUAAGGCUCAUUAAAUCCAUCUCUCAAAAUUCUACUGUGAAUACUGAAAAGGACAGGUCUCCUAUAUGGCACUGUAACUUCACGAAAUAGUGCCAAAGACAUACAAUAGGGGUGUCAUUUUACUCAGCAGAUGUAACUGAACACAAAAAAAAACUUUGUACAGGAAUAGCACACACCAGCUUUACAAAAUAUACAUGAGAAUUUCUUUGUUAUAAGUUUGUGUGCCAAAAACCAAAAAAACCCCACAAUUUUACUCCAAUAUUUAGCAGAGGUUGGCGGUGAAAUGGCUAUGUAGAAAGUGUCAAAACAACCUUAGGUAAAUAGCCCGUGAUGUCUACUUUAUAUAAAUAUAUAUUUUUGUGUGGCAAUUUUGUUUUCUUUUAUGGCUAUUAAGCUUACAACACAAACAUACCAAAUUCUAAAAUCGCUCCACAUUAAAAGUUUAUUUUACUCCUUGUGCUUUGUGACCUGUAACUACCAAAAAAAAAACGUAAAAUCUCAGACACAUUAUAUAUUCUGUAAACAACAGAACAACUUUUAAUUACUUUUCUUAACCUGCACUAAUUAUGCACACAUUAUUAUUGCAAAAACUGUAAAAAAAAAAAAAAUUCAUUUUCUUUUACAUUUUUCUGUAUUUUUUUAUAAUAAAUAAGCAUUUAUAUAUAUUUGUGUUACAUCAAAUUAAAGCCCUUCCUGUCCUUUAAAAAAACUAUGUAUAUUAUGUGUUGGUGCAACAAAUUAGUAAAAUGCAAAUUGCAGUUGAACGCAAAUAGCAAAAAAUGAAAAAAAUGCUGUUGUCAUUAAGUGAAAGACAAGCUUUUGAAGCUCUGUCCUUAAGGGGUUAAGAGAUACCGUGAUCAAGUGUGUAUAUGUUGUGAAUUGUUCUAUAAAGGAUAACAAUAAAAUUUAAAUACAAAAAUAUAUAGACAAAUUAUACAUUGGUGACACCUGCUUUCUUCUCUGGCAUAUGUAUAUCUCUGUUUCUAGAUAGUGAUUGGGACUUCUAUUUGUUAUAAACUUAAAAAUAUAUACGAACACAUUCUUAUUGGUAAUGGGCCUGCAUGCUUACAGUUUUUAAAUAAACUUUGGAAAAAAGGCUGCCCUGUAAACUCUAAAAUGCAAUCUGGUGUUAACUAGAAAACAACUCUGCAACCUCAUAAUACGGAACAAACAAAGCAUAUUGUGUGUACAUUUUUUUUUUUUAAAUCACAUUAUCAUCAAGAGUACUUGAGGACAUCAAAAACAUAGAUUUUCAUUCCAUAGAAUGAAAGUUAGAAAUGUCAGGAAUGCAAAGUGAUUUUUAAAUUGAAAGCUAAAAUAGCUGAACAGGAAACCUUUGCCAACUCAUCUAUCAAAAACAUGAAAUUCCCUUUGAACUCUGACAAAUCUCACUUUAGUGAAUAACCCUCAAGUCAACCUUGACUCAAGUACAGUUUAAAUAUUUAUUCUAAAGGUUGUGGACAUAUUUCCUGAGAGGCGUUAGUAAUGAUUGUACCUUGAAUUAUUUUUUCAUUUUAUCCAAUAUUACUAGAAUUAAUUAAGUUGGUAUUGUUUCUUUUACAAACAGAUAACCACAACACACUCCCAGGACAUGUUUUGCAUCCCUGGCAUGAGGAGGCAUUCCACUGAAGUUCUAAUUAGUACUUCUGAGAUUAUCUUUUAUUUAUAUAUUUUCUGGGGUUUUUUUAUUAAAAAAUUUCCCUUUGCACUAUCCCUGUGCAUCAUUCUCCUUUUUGCAAAAAUUUUAACAAAAUACUUAUCUAUAUAGAAAAUGUAAUUCAUUUGCAUUUGUGGGGAUGUCGGAAAUGUAUGUUGGGCAUAUGGUAUGUGUGAGCGCUAAUAUGUGGGUAGGUUAGUGGAUGUAUUUUGAGUAGGUAGAAAAAAAAAUAGUUUACAUUUUAUUUAAUAAAAAAAAUUUUUUUUACUUUUGGCGACGUAGAACGGAAAUGACCAUCAUGGUAAUCUGUUUGUAACGGGCUCUAACCUGCACCCCAGACUAAGUAUGCCUCCUCAUGAUGGAUGGAAGGAAGGAAGGAAAUAAAUCAGUAGCAUUCAGGCCCAUAAUAACUUAAUUGGAAAAAAGUUAUGAUACCAGGAGGUCCCUGACUCUUUCUUACAGUUUAAUCCAACCUCAAAUGGUUUCGUCCCAAAGGUUGCCUUCAAGGCUGGAUCUUUAUUUUCCCAACUGCACUCUGCUUCUCCAAUUGACUUUCAGGAAUUGAAUGGAGGGCUACUUAUUGGCUUAGUGCGUCACAGGACUGCUCUAGACCUACAGCGGCUCUCUGCCCGCCUCUGCACGCUGUGCUUCCUGAAAGUGAGUUGAAGAAGCUGGAUGCCACUGAUGAAAGGGAAAUCCUGUUCGAGAACAGUUUAAACCCUUCAGGUAAGAAAGUGCCAAGGACCUCCUAACACCAUAACAGAAUAAUUUUGAUGAAGUUGUUACGGUGCCGGGAGUAUUCCUUUAAAAAGGUACUCCAUUAAUUAUGGAAACAUUUAUUUUUCUGCAUGAAAUCCUCCUUAACCAGUAUUUGCUGAGGUCCCCAGCUAGCUAUGAUUCUCCUAUAUCUUCUGCAAGUUGACUUAAAAAAAAAAAAAAACUGCACAGAAGCACAUGUGCUUAUAAAACAGCACAUACCAUUCCUGAAGCCAUCAAUUUAUGCACUUAUUCAAGUGGUCUAACAAUUACUUUUUAAGUGAAUGAAACCCAGCCAGGAGCUCUUUUGUAAAAUCCACAUUCCACCAAACCACCUCUUAUGGGAGAUUAACUGAUUCCAACACCGAUGUAUGUCAGCGCUUCACCUCCUUUGACGUCAUGCACCGGCAGUGGGCGCAUUAGGCUGAAUCAUUGCUUUCAUAUGAGGAUUUAACUGACGCUGGAUGGCCUCAUGCGUCCAGUGUCAGGCAACCAAACAUUGCAUAGCAUGCAGGAAGUGCCUCUAUUGGCUGUCUGCAACGUUUUAAAUUGCAGGACUGAAUGUGACAGGGACAGAUGAAUUGUCUGGGUGCCUAUAAUGUCCCUUUAAACUAAUGAACCCACACGCUCUGAUCUUAGCCAAAGGGGCCUUCAGUACAGUAAUAUACCCUCAAUAUAUCAUGUUACACUCACACAUAAGUGGAAUCACUGACAUUCCUAUUUUUUUCCCUUUGGAGGUAUUUAGAAGAUAUGUAUCAAUAGCCAUAGAUUACAUAAACUGUCUUCCAACUAGCUGUAAAACAUAACUAUUAACAUGCUAAAAUACCUUUUUUUUUUUUUUUUUAAUUUCUUUUUUUUUUAAAGGAGGAAUAUUUAUACUGCGUGUAUAAACUAUAGAUGGAGUUGACUGAAAUAGAUUAAAGCAGCAGUAAUAGUGCAAAUCUGCUUAUGAUGUUGGCAUAUUUUUAUUCUCCCCCCCACCCCCACACAAAUUUUAGACAUUGGAGUGAAAUUUGCAACCCCCGAGGAUUAUAACCUUAUUCAUUAAAGGAACACUCCAAGAUCCAUACCCACUAUAGCACACUGUAGUAGUUAUGGUGCCAUGCAGUUAUGGUUAUCAUGCAAGUAGUCAAAAUAUAUGAGCAGUUUGACUUCAUACCUGAUGGCUGUCGUUCCUUGCCUCUCCACAACCAGACUUUCUCUACUCUGAACAAAACGGGGGGCUCGGCAUAGUUCAUUGCCUGACCGCAAUAAGCGGACAUUCUUAUCUGGCCCUGUAAAAAGCUUAGAUCAGAACAGGUUACAUGAUGCAAAGAGGAAACCGCGAGCAGCACCCGGAGGAGCCCAGGUAAAAAGUUGAAUUGUUCUAAAAUGUUUUGACUACUUGCAUUUUGAUGCCAGGACACUCAUGGUACCAUAACCAAUGGUUGGAAUGUUCCUUUUAAUAUUUGAUUAAAUAUUUAUAUUCUCUUGCUUCUUGGUGCAUUGCAUACUCCAUAUUCUAAAGGCAUCUAACUAAAGUAGAGCAGCGAAAAUUAUGCUGAGUGCCAGAGGCGGGUAUGGAAUACUUUGCUUUUAAGUAAGGCUUCUAAUGGCAUCUUAGUAGUGAUUAUGGAGAAGGCAUUUUCCAUUUUUAUUAAAUGAAGGUUUUAAAUGCACUUUUGUGGUCUGGCUUUGAUUUAGAUGUGCAGAUAUAUAUAUCUCAUUAAGAGUCUUCCAGCAUGUUAAAGAAUAUUAGACAGAACUAUCAUUCUUUCCUCAAUAGUUUUAAGAAGCUUUUUCUGCUGCUAUGACAACAAAGCCUUUCAACCGAUUUGUGCUUUCUCCUUAUGUCACGAGUACAACCUAGAAUAAAUCUGGCCUAGAGGUGAAAAAUAAAAUACAUAAAAGAAAAACACCCAUCACAAGAUUUCAAGUAGUUUAAUUUCUUCUGGACAAUAUUUUGGAAAAAUAAGGAAUGGUGUCCAAUAUUUUUGUUAAAGGGACACUAUAGUCACCAGAACAACUACAGCUUAAUGUAGUUGUUCUGGUGAGUAUAAUGGCUCCAUUCAUGCAUUUUUAUGCAAACACUGCCUUUUCAGAGAAAAAGCAGUCUUUACAUUGCCCCUAGGGACACUUCCAAGUGGCCACUCCUUAGAUGGCCACUGGACGGGCUUCCUGGCUCAGGGUCUUUGUGACUCUGUCCUCUCAUGGUUUUCAUUUUAUCUCUCCCAACACUCAUUCAGCGUCUCCUUUUCUAAUGAUACCUGCUCCCCUCGUCCUUUCUCUGUUGGAAUCCCCAAGGCUCUGUCCUUGGUCCCCUUCUAUUUUUUGUCUUUAUAAUGCCUCUCUUGGCAAACGUAUUACUUUAUUUGGAUUCCACAACAACCUGUACAAUGAUGACACCCAGAUAUAUCUCUUGUCACCGGACCUCCUGCAACGUUUCUAUGCUUGCCUUUCUUCCAUCACUGACUAUCAUCAUCCUCCUCCCGCUUUCUGAAAUGAAAUCUCUCUACAACUGAGCUCCUUGUCUUUCCUCCUCCUAAUACUGAUCCUCCUCUUUCGCUCUCCUUUCAAGUUAGUGGUAUCUACAUCAGUCCAUCCUUGCAAGCGCGCUGUAUUGAUGUCAUACUUGUUUCUGGCCUCACAUCCAGCAUGUUACCAAGUCCUGUAGAUUCCAUCUUAAAAACACAGCCCGCAUCCGCCCAUUUCUUACGCAAGAGGCUACUAAGGAGCUUGUCCAUGCUCUAGUAAUUUCCCGCGUGGACUAUUGUAACCCUCUCCUAAUUGGUCUUCCCAAAAACUGUAUUGCCCCACUACAGUCUGUAAUGAAUGCUGACGCCAGACUGAUUUUCCUCUGUAGGCGGUCCUCUCACACCUCACCACUGAUCCAUAGGUAUGCCCCUUCUCUGUCUCUCCAUUCUGCCAUUGACCUUGUCCUGUCCGCUGCUCGCACGCGUAUGACCAACUCACGCUUGCAGGACUUCUCGCGGGUGGCUCCUUUCCAAUGGAAUAGCCUGCCUACGACCAUCAAGCUAGUCUUCAAUCAUUUAAGAAGUGCCUUAAAACCUGUCUCUUUAAAAAAAAAGCUUAUGGCCUCACAUACCUGUCCCUUGCUCUCUCCUAAAGGGCAGCACACUACACUCUGUUUCACUCCCACCCUAUUUGAUUGCUAUUUCCUGUCCUAUUGUGUUUUACACCCCACCUCCUAUAGACUGUAAGCUCGUUUGAGCAGGGUCCUCUUCAACCUAUUGUUCCUAUAAGUUUUCUUGUAAUAGUUUCAUUUAUAUUUAAAUCCCCCCCCUUAUAAUAUUGUAAAGCGCUACAGAAUCUGUUGGUGCUAUAUAAAUGGCAAUAAUAAUAAAAUAAUGAUGAAUAAGCAUGACCUUCUGACCUUUCACAGAUGGUAACAACAACCUUCUGUUUUAGAAACACUGUUUGCUAGACUGUCCACCUGGGAUCUUCCAGUUCAUGGAUACAAUUUACAGCACUUGAAUCAAUGCAUCUCUAUGAGGAAAAUUCAGCGCCCCCAUGCCGAGCGUGGAGACGCUGAACAGCACUGCUGCAUAUUUUGCAGCACUGAGCCAGGAAGCACCUCCAGUAGCCAUCUGAGGAGUGGCCACUUGGAGGUGUCCCUAAAGGCAAUGUAAACACUGCCUUUUUGUGAAAAGGCAGUGUUUGCAUGAAAAUGCCUGCAUAUAAUGAUUAUACUCACCAGAACAAAUACAUUAAAGGGACACUCCAGGCACCCAGACCACUUCUGCUCAUUGGAGUGGUCUGGGUGCCAGCUUCCACUACUCUUAACCCUGCAACUGUAAUUAUUGCAGUUUUUUAUAAACUGCAAUAAUUACAUUGCAGGGUUAACUUCACUUCUAGUGGCUGUCUAGUAGACAGCCACUAGAGGGCACUUCCGCGUUGAUAGCAAAGAUUUUCUUUGCUAGAGCGUCGCUGGACGUCCUCACGCUGUGUGAGGACCUCCAGCAUCACUCAAUUCCCCAUAGGAAAGCAUUGCGCAUUAGAUUUCCUCAGCCGGCGGGCGGAUCAGUCUCGCCCACCAGCUGACGCGAUUACUAGGAGGAGCGACGCCAACUGGAAACCACCGCCGAGGGACAUCGGCGGGGUCUCAGGUAAGUGACCUGAAGGGGUCACCCCUUUAGCUACCUGGGAUGGGAGGGAGAGGGUACCUGCAGUGCCAGGAAAAUGGAUUGUUUUCCUGGCACUGGAGUUUCCCUUUAAGCUGUAGUGUCCCUUUAAUGCGGUCCUGUUGACAAAGCAAAAAGAUUAAAAAGAUACAAUGCACUUGGAACAGGACAAAAUAAUUACAUGUACUUUUUAAAAUGUAUGUCCUAUUAUCUGCUGCUUAGAAUUUGCAUGCUUAAAUAUGAACUAUGGUUGCUACACUUGUUAGUGACACUCACAUUUAUUUAUAAAAUAUUUUACCAGGAAAGAGUGAGAUUUCUCUCGUUUUCAAGUAUGUCCUGGGUCCACAAAUCAUUGCAUUGUUACAUUAGGGUACAAUAAAAUGCAAAAACAACAUUAAAGGACCACUAUAAUGCCAGGAAAACAUACUCGUUAUCCUGGCACUAUAGUGCCUUGAGGGUGCCCCCACCCUCAGGGACCCACUCCCGCCGGGCUUUGGGGAGAGAAAGGGGUUAAAAUCUUACCUUUCUCCAGCGCUGAAAAAGGACUAUAUUUUACUAAUGCAAGGAACAAAGGGGAAAGUGAGCAUGAUUAAAUGAAAGGUGCACGCUGACCAGCACUGCUUACUGAUGCUAUCAAGUUCUGUCAUCAAAGGAUCACUCAUAAAGCAAAUAUCCAUUGCUGGAACUACACCAUUUAUAUUGCAAAAGUUUUAGGAUUAAGUCCAUUAAAGCAACACUUUCCCUUCUGUGUUGAUGGAUAGUAUCCAUCCUUCCUUCCAAUAUCAUAAUAUAGUUUGUUUGGCAGGAAUGUAGAGAUUCAGUCAACUUCCAUCUGCUGUAUUGUCCCAUUUUUCCCGCCCUUCUUAUUUUUUUAAACCUUUACACAUGUUAUACACCAUUUAUUUGGAUGGUUUUGAUGCCAGGAAUACAAUUCUAGGUAAGUACACACAACAUAAAAUGCUUCUUUAAUUUUAAAGACCUUAUUUAAAAAAAUAUUUUGUUCCAUUGAAAAAAAAGUAUUUAAAAAAAAAAAUAUGCCUUUCGAACCCAUCCUUUCUGCAACUCCCCCCAGUUUCCCUUUCAUUCUUUCAAGUCUUAUGUUGUGAUUUUUCUUUCUUUGAUUUGUAAUUUGUUCUGUUGGCUUUUUGCAAUAGCAAAAGCCCUCUAUGCUGGCAAAGUCUGCAUGUUUAUGUAACUUUAUUAUAAAAGUAAUAUAUUUGCUAGCAGCACUAGUAACAUAAUGUGUAAAUGAAAUCGAAUAAAAGUCUGAUUAAAGAAAAGCCAGAGAAAGUGUAUCCGCUUUACCUAGGUAAUUUUUAACACCUUAAUGACGCAGCUUCAGAAGCUUGCCUUGCACUUAAGGACACAAGCAAUUUUAGCUUUUUUUUUUUUUUUUACUGUUUGUGUUCAACUGCAAUUUGCAUCUUUCUCAUUUCUUACACCAACAUAUAUUACAUAAAAAUAAAGGACAAAGGUGACUUUAAUCUGAUGUGACAUAUACAUAUAUAAAUUCUCAUUCAUUAUUUUUAAAAAAGCAAAACAUUUACAUUUUUUUGUAAUUUUUGGCAAUAACUGGUGCAAAAUUUUGUGCAGCUUAAUUUAUUUUAUUUUUAAUUCUUUAUUUUAGGCAUGCAGUGUUAAGUACAAGCUUUCGUAAUGACUUGUGAUGAGUUAUGACAAUGCUUAAACAGUCAAGAUAUGCUGCACUUUUUUUUGCAAGCUUAUUCACAGUAAUGUCAAUAUAUGAGCAGUGAGGUAAUAAGAAUAUGCAAAUUGACUUUAGAUUAAACUAGAAGUAAAUAAAAGUUAACAUGCUGAGCCUAUGAGCAUCUUAAUCUAGCUUUUGUGAAAAUUCCACUGGGUAUGAAUUCAAACGAUGAUAAAACAAGGAAACAACACCGGCUUCCUGCAUCCCUGCCACCAUUAAGCUGCAUAGCAUUAUCCCCAGGCUUGACCCUGCCCUUCAUGGUUUGUGGUGUGUUAGAGUGUGCACAAAAUACAUUAGUCCUACACACUGUCUAUGAUAUAGCAUGCUGAUCAUGAUAGUAGUGAGUAGAAGCAUGGCACCAGUGUGUGACAUAAAACAUAACCAUAACUAUUAUCAAAUACCAUGCAGGAUGAGUAAGUAGUUGUUGUUUAAACCACUGAAAACAAGCCUAACAUUUCACUGCUUAUUGGGUGUAGGUUGGGUAGAGACAUGAGUCCCUGUAUAGAAGAUAACUCAUUGGAGCAUAUUGGAGCUGGUGUGUGAGUUAACCGAUCCCCCUUCUGCGUAGCUUAACUUUUUUUUAUUUAAAAUAAAGUCAAUUAGUUGUCCUGACUACAUCAUAUGUCUAGGAUUUUGGUUUAUUUUUGGUUGUUACAGGUCACAAAAUAAAAUUUCAAUGUAGAAUGAUUUUAGAAUUUGAAAUGUUUGUCUAUCAAACAAAAACAAAAUUGCUGCAGGAAAGUACAUAUUCCAAGUUAUUGCGAGUAGGAGGAGCAUGCAUUAAAGGAUCAAUUGUGUUGCUAUGUCAAGAAUCCAUGUCAUCUCAGAGUGGACAUAUCUUGGUUGCUGGUAUCAUAAGCUAAUGGAAUAUUAAUGGAAUAUUGACUUUAGUGAUGUUGUCCCAUUGAACAUCUGGAAUUCCCAGUUUCUAUCUAGAUUAAUUUAGAAAGGUAAAUGUUACAAGUAGAGUUGUUGCAAAAACAUGUUGGAUUUACCUCUGUACAUAAAUAUUACAUGUGGGUCAAACUCUAUUAAAACGUUGAUUGAUUUCCACAGUUUUAAAGUGAUCCAGUCCAGAACACAGUCUGUGAGGCAGCAGGUCACCCAUAUUUUUUUAACCCUGUCAAAUGGCUCCUUUGGGUACUUCUACAUAACCAAUAAACCAAUUAAGUUUCAUGCCCUGGUUUUCCUUCACUGGGUGCUUUAUAUAUAAUUGUAUUCAUUAGAAGCUGUCAAUGCUUAUAUACCUGAUCUGUGUUUGGAAUAAUAAAAUGUGCGCAGGUUCCUUGAGUGUAGUUGGAGAAGCUGUUUGCCAAAAAUAUAGGGUCAGUUCAACAUUUUAAGAGCUGUUUAUUUAAAAACAAACCUCUAAACAUUUUUUUGGGAUGCAAGUAUCUGCUGCUUGGAAGCCUGCAUUCCUCGCUUGAUAUUUUGUGUAGUUUUCAACUUAGUGUUUGGAUUGGAUAUUUCUUUAAGACUAGCAAGACCACUAAUUUGCAGCUGCAUUGGAACUUUGUAAUUCUACAAGCUACUAGCCAAUAUCUAAAAAUUUUAAUUGGAAAUCUACUAUUACUUUUUUGUAGAGCUCAAACUAAUUAUAUGCUACUAAUUGUACAAGCUCAGAAGACUUUAUUUUUUAUGCUACGCCAUUGAUCUAUCAGUGGCAAUGUGCGGUUGUUGGACUUGUUCAGUAAUGUCCAUCCACCUUUUGAUGACUGCCUUGCACUCUAGCGUGCAUAUGAGAUUAUAGCACCCACAUCUUUUGAAAGGAAAUUCUGGUUUCUUUUUUUUUUUUUAAAACAAACAUGUACUACACUGAAAAAAAUGAAACUUUAUCAUAGUUUAUCUAUCUCUUAUACUGUAAUUUUAAAAUAUUUUUGUUUCUUUUGCUUAAGUAGAUGUUUGUAUACUCAGCAUCUCUCCAGCACUUAUGGCAUUGGCAUUUAAAUAGACAUCCAAUUAAUUCUGUCCCAAUAGGCAAAUCAUUGGUAUAUCUAAUGCAGAACGAAUAUGCUCAUUUUAGCUCUGAGGGACCCCAGCCCUCAACUGCAUUGCCUUGGCGACCUCUCAAUGUCAGAUCGUUCAAAAUGGUUUGACUUCUUACUCUAGGUUACUGUAGGUUGGUUGCUGUGUGCUUUAAAUGUAGGCACUAACACCAUUUCAUGUUAUUGAACUGGUUAUAGUGCGUGGAGAACCCUGGAACUGUCCCUCCAUUCAAUGCUAAAUGAGCACUACAGCAUUAGGAAUACAAAUGUAUAUUUCCAAUGUUAUAGUUUUAUCCUACUUAUUUUGGUCCAUGGCCACCAUCCCUUUCCUUCCCAGGAGGGUUUAAAAAGUGAGUUUUAUUUACUGUUUCUCCUUCCCCACGCUGGUCUUGCCGCAGCUACCCUUCCUCCCUGGAUGACAUCAUCAAGAUUGAUGCUUAUUUAAUGCUUCCUCAUAGGCUGUGCUUCUCUUUUAGCAGCAUUUGAUUGAGAACAGUGUGACUAUUCUCACAGGGGAUGAGCCUCUUGUAGCGGUUUGUUUUUCCAUCUUUUCAGUUUAUAUAUGUUCUCUGUCAAAAAUACAUUGAUGAGGAAUCUAGAGUUAUGCUCUACUGAAGUGGAGCAAUCACUUUUAUAUGACUUUUCAUAUUGACAAAUAUUUGUUGCUGAGAUCUGAGAAAAAGUCAAAAUGUAAACUUCUGCAUUUAUUCUCUAUUCUCAAACUAAGAGUCUCCAUGGCUCCUUUUGAGUCGUUGUUCUAAUAAUAGAAGGCCUAGAAGAAAGAGAAGAAACCGGAACAAAGAUUGUUUCUCCUUCUUCGAUGCAGUGUUUGUCCUGACUACUUUUGACUAGGGACUUAAACCUGGUGAAUUUUGAUAUACAUGGCCUGUUCAGAAACUGCCAAAUUGCAGCCAUAUGGCAAUUGAAUGGCCGUAACCAACCACUUACUUUUUAUUGAUGUUACUAUAUCAGUGAAUGGUGAUAUUUUAACCUCUUGUCUUACUGGCUUAGUGACAGCUAAAUAACUGAAAACAUGCUUAUAUACAGGUAUUACCAGUAAUUCAAAUCCCCUUAAGUUUACUAAUCUUUAUAUCAAAUAAAAAGCGGAAAAAGUGAAAUCGCUUUAAACAUGGUUAUAUGCAUGUGUUUAGAGCAAUUUCACUUUAAAAAAAAUAAAUAAUAAAAAAAAAUAAAAAAAAAAAAAAAUAUAUAUAUAUAUAUAUAUAUAUAUAUAUAUAUAUAUAUAUUUUUUUUUUUUAUUUCAUACAAAGAUUAGUAAAUUUAAGGGGAUUUGAAUUACAUAUAUCAUGAUUGCUUAUUCCCAUGCUUGAAAAUGCAUGGGAAUUUCACCCAAAUCCAUAAACUACUUAAUCCUAAAUCGUCCAAACUUUAUCCCAACCUGCACAUAUUACCCAUGUCUGCAAUAUAUUGGUUUACCUAAGUUGGGUGCUUGUAGCUUUAUAGUUUUCAUAUGCAAGACCCUAUAUUUUGGAGGUGUGAAAAUAAAAAUCCGAAAUCCACACCUCCUUUAUCCUGCAACUAGGUGCCUCCAUCUCACUUCAAUGACAAUCAUUUCUACAAACUCUUCCUUUUGUAUCUGCAGACAGCAUGAAGAAAGCAUACAGAGAAGAGGAGAAAUGAGUGUUACUUUUUCUCCUUCAUUUGCAAUGUUUGAUCUGUCUUUCCUUGUUUGAACUGGAUUACAAUGUAAUUUGUUAAAUAUGUAAAGGAUUACUCCAGACUCACAAAUAACUUCAACUUGCUCAAUCGCUGCAUGCUUCUGGAGUCUGUCAUAACUGUGGCCGUUUAUAGAAGUGCCAAUUUCAUUAGAAUAUAGCGCUUUUAUAAUUGCGGGAAAAAACACAUCCCUGGCGAUCACUCAGACAGCCACGAGAGGUGGCCUUCCUCGUCCAUUAGCUCCUCAGAAGCUGGGCUAGCGUGUAGCUGCUUUUUCCCCACCUUCUCUACUGUACUACAACUCACUGAGCAGUGUAGGAAAGCCACAAUUGCAUGUACACUCGUGGCUCCAGCACAGAGGCUUUUCAAUGAGAACCCUCUGGUUGGUAUAUUCACUUUCCUAGACUGAAAGUCUUUGGUGAUGAAAGUGGGGAGAAAGGCUGCCGACAGCAUGUUUAUAUCCUUUGCAAGCAUUUUUUUAUAUGGGAAAAAAAAAAUAAAGUGCUUCUUUUAUUUGGGAAAAUAUCUACUAAGUUGUUAAAAAAACAUAUAAAAAAAUAAACUCAAUGGGCCUUAAAAAAUAAGUAAAUGAAGUAUUUCAUUAAAAAAAAGUUUAAACAAAUUAUACGUGACUAUUUUUUUUUCUUCAAAUACGUAGACUACAUACUUAUAUUUAUUUCUAUACUUCUCAGUUUCCAGAGAAGUAUACCUUUUAUUGACUUAUUUGUAAAAUAUGAAACCUCCUGGUUAUGUUUAAAUUAAAUAAUUAUACUAAUUUGUCGGCUAAACUAAAAUUGUUUGCUUAAUAUGACAUUUUUAAAGAGUUACAAUAUUUUCAAUGUAGCUGAAAAUCAGAGAGAAAUGGUAGAAAAAACUUCUCCACAAGCCAGUAUGUAUUAAAUUAUAAACAUGGUGGGCCAGCUUGUUGCAGAAAACAAUAUUUAUUCAUCCGUGAUAACAUGCCUGUAGUAUUUCAUGCUAUGUCACUUGAGAUUUCAUCACCAAUUAAAGAACUUCAUCUGAUCUUAAAUGUUGGGACUGUGUCAUUUAUAUUUUAUAGGAACAUUGUGAAUGCUGUGAAUCUGCAAUUACAUUUUCAAAACCUGUUUUAGAGCAACCGUUGAUUGGUUUUAAGUAGCUGUCAGUUGAUAUGGCAAUUGUUUACAGUUUAAUAUCCUGCUAGUGACAUUUCCUGUUUGCCUCUUAAUGGUAUCCUAGAAUUUAAUGAUUCGUGUGCUGCUUGGAAUUAAAUAACUAUUUGUGGCCAGAGUGGACCAGGUUUAUGUGGAUAAAAUGUGAAUUAAAAAAUAAAUACAGGAAAUUAUUAGGGUUACGGCUAAUGAAGCAGCUUUAGACUUGAAUAUUGCCCACAAUUUUAGGCUUAUGGCUCUGAAUUUUUUUUUUAUUCAAUGAUCAGUUAUUACCAGGAAAACAGGAAUAGACAGUUUGUGAUUUUACUUGGUUUAUUAUAACUGGAUUGUGCCUCUUUUGUAUGCAAUUAUUGAUGUAUUCCAUCAAUGAAUUCUGACAAAAAAAAGUAUGUAAGCGUAAAAAAUUUCACAUCAUUCGCACCUUUUAAGUCACAAAAGGUGUUUGACUUUUAAUUUAUAUUGUGUUACAUAAAUUGUGAUUUUGCGUAUUUUGAAGAAUUUUUGUAUGAUUGAAAUGUAGAAGGAUGAAUACAGAGUGAAAUAAAUGAGUCCUUACAAGAUAGCUUUAAACAGGUCACAACUUGUAACCAGUGUCCUUUUAUACAUGUUUAUUCAUUGUUUCCUUUUCUUCUAUAACUUAAUAUGCAUUUUUUUUCACUUUAUUUUUUUCUUUUAACUUGUUACCUGCAAGCAUUUUUAAAACCUGUACAGCAUAGUUAUACUUCCCAACCAAAUACCACAUUUGAAGUAUCGUGCUGUCAAAUUAUUUUUACAAUCUGUGCAUUUUCUAGAUUACCUAAAAUGUUUAAUGCAGAUUUAAAGGGUUAAUCCUGACGGAAUGAGAGUCUUCACUUUCAGGCAGCACUGUGAGAGUGAUUGCCAUAUGAAGCCCUUUGAAGACCGAGUACAUAAGAGUUGUGCGCACACAUUCCACAGUGUGCCUGAAUAAUAAUUCCUACCUCUCUUCAACAGUGACAGCCCACGCCUGAAAACAUAAUCACUCCCUCCUCUCCACCGGUCUGUGUCAGUAAUAAACUUAUGUACUUCCCCUUUGUUAAAUGCUUUUUCUAUGUGAAGAAGCCAGUUGGGGUAUUAGCGGUAUCUGUUAAAGGGAAACUAUAGUGCCUGAAAAACACUCGUUUGUGGUGCAGAAGGGUUUAAUAACCCCCUUUUGUCACUUACCCGGAUCCAGUGCCAAUGUCCCGUGGCAAUGGCAGCACUUGCAUUAGGAUCUCCACAUAGGAAAGCAUAGAGUGAGCACGUCCAGUGUCGUUUGGACGACCAAAAGUCGUCUAAGCACCUGGAAGUCCCUCUAGAGGUGAUCUACCAUAUAUAAAAACAGCAAUAAUUACAUGCUCAUGGUUACCGUUGAUGGGAGUUUGCACCCAGACCAUUUUAAUGGACUGAAGUGGUCUGGGUGCCUCCAGUGUCCCUUUAAUCUAAAUCUGUUAGUGGCUGUCAACUCUCAUAGAAAAAUGUUAAACUAGCUUUAAAGUUUACCUGCCAUUGUACACACAGGUUAGCUAAGAACAUGAAAUGUAAUCUAUAGAUUGUGCUAGCAAAUGUAUAGCGUUGAAUUUAAAUCGCUUUAAAAAAAUGUGGACCUGUUGUAGAUUAGAGAUCUAUGUCAACGACUGAGUGACAAUGUAGAGCAGGAGAACCUUCUAAAUGUGGAAGAUUGGACCUAAGUAAUUCUAUAAAGGCUCUGAAAGCAACUGAAUAUAUAAUUUAUUUUUAAGAUAAUGAUAAAUGUGUUGCUUUAGAUGCUGUCCUGUUUAGAUAGACCUAGCAGGAUAGGUGAACUUUAAUUGCAUAAUGCAUUUUGUAAAUUGCCUUAACUAAGCUGCAUUUUAUGAGCGACCACAAACAAAUUUAAAACAGAAUUGUCACUUUUCUGGAAGUGAUAGUUACUAGUUCCCUCACAACAGUAAACACUAUAGAAGUGCUUGCAGCGGUAAGCAGAACAGCAUAGGUAAAUAUAAAAUGCAAUUAUCUCCUCAGCACUUUCGUGUUCAUGAUUACCCCUUGAUGCUUCUGGCAAGCUCAUGCACUCUCAUAAAUCUGAUGAAAAAUAUUGUACAAAUUACAUGCUCACUCUGGUUUUUCUUCCAUAUUCCCAAACAUAGUUACAUUGUUGUCUAGGUUAAAAAAAUCCAAAAGAAAAAAAAAGAAACAAUUAGAGACAUUUCCAAUAAUGCUACAAACGGGAUCAGCAACCUGUUCACAUACAUAUCUAAUAUAUCCUUGAAUUAUGUAAAAAGUGUGUUCUUUGGCCAAUGGUGUUAAAAACCCUCUCUAGCCCUGCUGACACCUAAAUAUAGUAAAUUCUUACCUUUAUUCUAGUCUGCUGGUCCUGGCUCUCUCCCUGAUCUGCCUCCUUGGCUGACCUCAUCGGAAGUAAUUGAUUUCAGCCAAUCACAAUGCUUUCCCAUAGGUGGCCAAGGGGCGGAGCCAAACACUGCCCUUGCCAAUCAGCAUCUCCUCAUAAAGCGGAAAUAAAUUAGGAAAGUUCAGUGUCUCCAUGCAGAGGAUGGAGACACUGAAUGUCAGGAAGCACCUCUGGUAGCUAUCUAAGUAGUGGCCACUGGAGGUGUCCCUAGGCUGUAAUGUAAACACUGCCUUUUCUCUAAAAAGACAGUGUUGCCUUAGAAAGCCUGUAUGGACUGACUAUACUCACCAGAACAACUACAUUAAGAUGUAGUUGUUCUGGUGACUAUAGUAUCCAUUUAAAGUGUAGGGAGAUAAAACAUUCUAAAGCAAGUUAACAUUUAAAUGAAAAAUUAAACCAUUUUGUUUUCAUGCAGAUGUGUUAGUCACAGUCAGGGGAGAUGGGGCUAAGGCUACAUAAGCAGAAACAAAAGUGAUUGAACUCCUAAAUGGCAGAUUAUUGAGCAGUGAGGAGACUGAAGGACCAUGAUACCAUGUAGUAUGCUCUGACUGUUCUAAGACGGCAUGACAUUCCAAUGUGUAUUCAACAAUAAAAAUGGCUGUAAUUUGUUAUUUGAACUUUAAUUUUCAUUUUUUUUUUUUUUAUUGACAGAUUCUCUAAUAGAUAAGAAACCAUUCUUUCAGUUUUCUUUGAGAAACAUCAUAUAACCUCCCCCACUCUCGCAUGUGUUAUGUGAUGGACCCCCAUCUGCUGUGAGAAGACCUGAUUUCUGUGAUUGCCCUAAAACACAGCAGACAGACUAGUGGGAGAGACUAUAGAAAAUUGACAAAUAAAUUACAGCUGCCAAUGAUUACUAUGGGUGGUAUACUUUUUAAACAAAAUCAAGCUAGGGAGUUUUUCAGAAUUUCUAAGCCAGUACAUUAACCCCUUAAGAUCGGAUGGUGUACUAUUACGCCCUAUUUUAGGCGGCUCUAAACGCCGCCGGGCGUAAUAGUACGCCUCCGGUCUUUCUUUACAUACCCGGUCGCCGGCGAUCGCGGUUGGGGGGACUCCCAGGGAGCCCCCCGCGGCACGUCCGACUCCUUGCGAGGACCUCACAAUCACAUGGCUGGGAUAGCUGCCUCCUGCAUUACCAGCAGGGGGGCUGCCUGUAAUGACAGGUGGUCCCCCUGCUGGCUGGAAAUAAAAUUUAAAAAAGUUAAAUAAGUGUAAAAAAAUAAAUAUAUAUAUAUAUAUAUAUAUAUAUAUAUAUGUGUGUGUGUGUGUAUGUAUGUAUGUAUGUAUGUAUGUGUAUAUAUAUAUAUAUAUAUAUAUAUAUAUAUAUAUAUAUAUACACAUACACACAUACACUGUCUAGGUGUAUUUUACUAUUAAAAUAUAUAUAUAUUAUCAAAUUACACGUAGACUGAUAUUGAUUAAAUAUAUAUGUAAUUAUUGUUCUAUAUAUAUUUAUAUAUAAUAUAAAAAAAUUAAAUAUGUAAAUACGUUAAAAAAUAAAAUUCUAAAAAUAAUUAAAAAAUAUAUAGAUGUGUUAUUUCGUUCUAACUGUAUUGUGAUAUUAAUAUAUAUAUUUAUAUCAAAAUACACGUAGAACGAAAUAUAUAUAUCUAUAUACAUAAAUAUAUACGUGUAUAUAUAUAUAUAUUUAAAUAUUUAAAAAAAAUUAUAUAUAUACAUAUAUUAAUUCUACAUAUAUAUUUAUGUAAUAUUUUUACAUAAUUAGGUAUCUUAAUUAAUUACAAUUAGCGGGACCUGCCUGACAACCAAUGCUGAAAGUAAAGGGAAUUUUAAUUUGCUAGCACUAUAUUUAACCCUAUAACUUUCCUAGACACCAUAAAACCUGUACAUGGGGGGGUACUGUUCUACUCGGGAGACUUCGCUGUACACAAAUAUUAGUGUUUCAAAACAGUAAAAUGUAUAACAACGAUGAUAUCGUCAGUAAAAGUGAAGUUUUUGCAUUUUUCACGCACAAACAGCACUUACACGGACGAUAUUAUUGCUGCGAUACUUUUUACUCAUGUACAGGUUUUAUGUUGUUUUCAAAAAUUACAGCGUCAAAUAUAAGGCUUGUGUUUUUUUUUUUUUUCUUUCACAAUAAUUAAUUCGCCAGAUUGGUUACGUUGCCUUUGAGACCCUAUGGUAGCCCAAGAAUGGAAAUUACACAUAUGAGUGUUUGUGACCAAAUGGCUACUAAAAAAAGACUGGACAUACCCCAUUUGCAAUACCUUGGGUUGUCUACUAUUGCAAAUGAUAUGCCAUUAUGGGGGUAAAUUUCUUUCCUGGGCUACUAUAAAGUCCCAAAGGCAACGUAACCAAUCUGGCGAAUUUCAAUUUCAAAUGUAACGUGCUAUAUUUGACCCUGUAACUUCCCAAAACGCCAUAAAACCUGUACAUAGGGGGUACUGUUUUACACGUGAGACUUUGCUGAAUACAAAUAUGUGUAUUUUAUUGCAGUAAAAGCAAACCGUAUUAUGACAUUGACAGUUAAAAUGUCAUGUAGAACUAAAAAAAUCAAAAAAAUCUUAUUUUCUCCCAUUUUUUUCAUAUUAAAUUAUGUUUCAUAGCUAAAUAUUUGAUAUUAAAUGAAAGCCCUGUUUCCCCUGAAUAAAAUGAUAUAUAAUAAGGGUGGGUGUAUUUAAUAUGAAAGAGGUGAAUUACAGUUGGACAGAUGUGUGGCGCAAAUGCCAGGUUUUGUUUACAUUUUGUUUCGUUCACAACGUGUACAUUUGGCUCCGUCCUUAAGGGGUUAAGAGACACAAGUGUCCUUCAGAUUUUCUUUAAUCAAAACCUGAAUAGCAAAGUUUAGGCAAAAAUAGUUAAAUUGUGAUUCACGGGUUUCGUUUCACUACAAUUUGGUAUUUAGUGAAUAAAACCAAAAUGAAUGUAAGGAAAUCCUCACAGACCAAGUGCUGCCUUUUGGCUAUAAUUGCCUUACAGAGGAGACUUUUCAUAAUGUCCUCAAAUUGUCCGUAUGGUACAAGGGACACAAUUGUAGGUGUUGCCAUUCUAGGAUUGCCAUGGUGGCUUGGUCAUUACAUUUAUAGUGAGGGGGGAAAGUAUUUGAUCCCCUGCUGGUUUUGAACGUUUGCCCACUGACAAAGAAAUGAUCAGUCUAUAAUUUUAAUGGUAGGUGUAUUUUAACAGUGAGAGACAGAAUAACAAAAAAAAAAUAAUCCAGAAAAACGCAUGUAAAAAAAGUUAUACAUUGAUUUGCAUGCCAAUGAGUGAAAUAAGUAUUUGAUCCCAUAUCAAUCAGUAAGGUUUCUGGCUCCCAGGUGUCUUUUAUACAGGUAACAAGCUGAGAUUAGGAGCACUCUCUUAAAGGGACACCUGUCUACAGAAGCAAUCAAUCAGAUUUCAAACUCUCCACUAUGGCCAAGACCACAGAGCUGUCCAAGGAUGUCAGGGAUAAGAUUGUAGACCUACAAUAGGCUGGAAUGGGCUACAAGACCAUCGCCAAGCAACUUGAUGAGAAGGUGACAACAGUUGGUGCGAUUAUUCGCAAAUGGAAGAAACACAAAAUAACAGUCAGUCUCCCUCGGUCGGGUGCUCCAUGCAAGAUCUCACCUCAUGGAGUUUCAAUAAUCAUGAGAACAGUGAGUAAUCAGCCCAGAACUACACCGGAGGAUAUUGUUAAUCAUCUCAAGGCAGCUGGGACUAUAGUCACCAAUAUAACAAUUAUACGUGAAGGACUGAAAUCCUGCAGCGCCUGCAAGGUCCCCCUACUCAAGAAAGCACAUGUAGAAACAUAGAAUGUGACGGCAGAUAAGAACCAUUCGGCCCAUCUAGUCUGCCCAAUUUUCUAAAUACUUUCAUAAGUCCCUAGCCUUAUCUUAUAGUUAGGAUAGUCUUAUGCCUAUCCCACGCAUGCUUAAACUCCUUUACUGUGUUAACCUCUACCACUUCAGCUGGAAGGCUGUACAGUCCCAUCUCAUCUGAAGUUUGCCAGUGAACAUCUAAAUGAUUCCGAGGAGAACUGGGUAAAAGUGUUGUGGUCAGAUGAGACCAAAAUCGAGCUCUUGGGUAUCAACUCAACUCGCCAUGUUUGCAGGAGGGGGAAUACUGCCUAUGACCCCAAGAACACCAUCCCCACCGUCAAACAUGGAGGUGGAAACAUUAUGCUUUGGGGUGUUUUUCUGCUAAGGGGACAGGACAACUGCACCGCAUCAAAAGGACGUUAAACGGGGCCAUGUGCCAUCAAAUCUUGGGUGAGAACGGCAGCAAAGGAACGCUCAAGAAGAAGCACAUUAAGGUCCUGGAGUGGCAUAGUCAGUCUCCAGACAAUAAUCCCAUAAAAAAAUCUGUGGAGGGAGCUGAAGAUUGGUGUUGCCAAACGUCAACCUCGAAACCUUAAUGACUUGGAGAGGAGCUGCAAAGAGAAGUGGGACAAAAUCCCUCCUGAGAGGUGUGCAAACCUGGUGGCCAACUACAAGAAACGUCUGACCUCUGUGAUUGCCAACAAGUCGAAGUGGUCAAAUACUUAUUUCACUAAUUGACAUGCAAAUAAAUUUUUUUUUUUGUUCUGUCUCUCACUGUUCAAAUACACCUACCAUUAAAAUUAUAAACUGAUCAUUUCUUUGUCAGUGGGCAAACGUUCAAAAUUAGCAGGGAAUCAAAUACUUUUUUCUCUCACUGUAGUGUCCCUUUAAAUGACAAUGAGUGCAACUAAGCUAAUCAAAUGAGGAAGUAACAGGACCUGCUGUAAAAGACCAGGGGGUGCAACCAGUAUAAUUUAUAAAGCUGUAAAAUUCUAUUGAAAUCUGCACUUUUUCUAAAAGAAAAUCCAAACAUACUUUUGGUCCGUUAUCUGACGCUGGACGUCCUCACGGACCUCCAGCUUCAGAUUUUCCCAAUAGGAAAGCAUUGAAUAAUGCUUUCCUAUUAGGAGGUCUAUUGCUUGCGGCAAGUCUCCCCUGCCAGCUGACGUUGGCAAGGGAGGAGCGUGGGCGGUGCCUGACCCAGCACCGAGGGACAUCGGCGCUGGAUUCAAAUAAGUGGCUGAAGGGGUUUUAACACAUUCAGCCCCGUGGGAGGAGGGGAAGAGGGAGGGGAGACCGACCUAUUAACCCUAUAGUGUCAGGAAAACGGCUUUGUUUUCCUGGCACUAUAGGAUCCCUUUAAGUAACAGAGUGACUGAGUACUUUAUAAAUUAGCCUUUUCACUAAUAAGCAAUCUGUGGCAUUCUAGAUAGUUUAUCGCCAAUGUCAGCAAUCACAUGACAAAGCCAGUGGUUUCAAAAUAUGCUUUGUCAAAUACUUCUGUAUUUCAUGCUGCUUGUGUAACAUUGGUAACCCUAUAUUUUCUGUAAUCUUGAGUAGCUUAGAGGAAAGGAGACUAGUAGGUGAUACAACAUCCAUUUUGCUAAUUUUUUAUUUUAUUUUAUUUUUUAGCAUUUACUACUUAAUAUGCUUUUAGUUUGCACUGUUCUAUAUCUAGUUAUGUUAAAAAAAAAAGACCUUUUACCCAAGUAAUAUGUACCUACAGCCUGAAUACAAAAUACGUAAAGAGCACCACUUUUAGUUCUAAAACUUGAUGAAAAUCAUCCCCAGAAGCAAUUACAUUUUUUUUCCAGAUUAGUGUUACCUAAGCUAAAUGUAUUUGUUUGACAGGUGCAAACAUUCAUUUUAACGGGUUACUUCAACCACCAUGACUACUUCAGUGAUUUGUAUAUUGUAUAUUAUGGUAAUAUACAGUUAUUUUUAAUUGUGUACUGUGGGCUAAUGGCAUCCCCCAGCAAAUCUGAUUUAGCCAGCCCAGAGAUCUAUGCAUAUUUUAGGCACUGGUGACCGACGUGAUGCUAAGAGCGCCUGCUAAGGAAAUAUAGCCGUCUCCUCCCUUUAGCUCCCUUCCGUUUUGGAACAUGCAAGUGCCUGGUGAUGUUAUGACUGGGUGUGGAUAAUCAGUGUUGGGAUCCUUGCCCUGUACUGAUUAAAUGUAAUUUUACACCAUUUUUACAGGCGGGACCUGAUAGUUUUUCCCCAAAGCAUUUGUAUAGUAAAAAAUAUUUUCUUUUUCUUUUCUUUCUUUUUAAACCAGUGAUUCAUUUGAAUAAAAUUCUUGGAAAUCGUGGAACAAAUCGAUUUUGGAAAUUCAUUUAGUUUGCAAAUGAACCAAACCAGAUUUAUCAACUUAAAUGCUGUAGUUUGGUGAUUUUUAGAAGGUUUUCAUGAUUCUGACUGUUUGCAAACAAACCGAAUAUUCGGAAUCUAUUUGUUCAACAAUGUUUUUUUACACAUGUAUGUCUGUCAUUAUCCUGUACUUUACUGAAGAUGUACUGCCAAACCCCAUUAAACAAGCUUUAAGUUAAUAUGGCAGUACAUUCCGCAUUGUUGCGAACUGUAAGAAAAGGUUAAGUCUGUAUAUUUAAUACAUAAUCACCUUUAUGUAAGUGUAAAGGCUGCUUAGUGCUAUAUGUUUGUGGUCUCUAUAAAAGGUAAUUAGUAUUAACCCGUGAUCUCCCGAGUGAGGCAGUCAAACAGUAACCAAUCGGAGGCUACCGCAGGCAUGUGAUCCCUGUCACUCCAAUUGUAUGCCUCUUCGCAUAAUACAAGGCUUCAGGCUAUUUACCAAUUGAUUGUCUUUUUGCUUAUAUAAUUACUGUGGGAGCCUUUUUGCAGUGCCCGUAUGUCUCAGUGCAAUUCUGGUUGAGUUUGCAAAGGCGGUUUCAUGAUUUGUCAUUUCCUUGUAUGUGUAUUUUGUUUUAAUUGUAAUAUCAAUGACUAGCUAUAUCUUUAAGGACACUAUAGCAUCUGAAGUUCAAACCUGGAUUCCUAACGUUAUGGUGUCCUACCUAGCCUAUAAUUCGUUUUAGGCCCUCCUCCCUCUAUUUGUAGCAAAAACCAGAAGAAAAAAAAAGCUUUAUACUUGCUUUUUCUCCAGCAUCGAGACCCCCUUGCUGCUGCAACGUCACCCAGCUCUCUUGACAGUUGUCUAAUCCAAUGCUCUACAUAGAAGAGCUUUGGGACCAAUGUGCAGGCAUAGCGAGUUCAGAACGACCAUCCAAAUGCUUCUCCUCAAUGCUUUCCUAUGAGUUGCACUUGAUCACAUGACAGAGUGUAACUCAGGCAUUGAAAAGAAAGUGCAGCUAGAGAUGUUUUUCUGGAAGACAGCCGCCAGAGAUGUUUCUAACCCUGCUAUGUAAACCUUGCAGUUUCUACAAAACUGCAACUGCACUUAGACAACUGCAUUGCAAUUAUGUCAAAUGCAUGCAUUUAGGAUCCUUUUAACAGCAUAAUAUUUAAGAAGAAAGAACUGUAUUGUGCAAGAAAAAUACAUAAAUAACUAUGUUGGGGACGACCGCCCGUAUCUUGGGGAACGCAAGAUAAAUUUAGAUGCACACACUAUCGCAGCACGAGUCGAUGUAAGGGACAACACACGUUUAUAGCUUACGGUCUUGUACCACGUAGACCUACAUCAUACUCAUCUUGCGCUAACACUGAUACACACACUAAUGACAUAGUUCAAUUACUCACACUGGACAGUUGCAUUGUCACUGACAACUACAUGUAACUCGCAACCAGGGAUACCGGCGAACUGCAGGCUCUGCCGAGAGGGGUAACGACAACGGCCAUAGCCAAUGCUAGCUACGAAACAAGACUAAUCCCACCACUCCUGCGUGCUAGGGUAUACCUGGCGACACCAAAGCGGACCUACGAGUCCGAACUCAACAGGGGCCUGCGAACCGCCUUUCCUGUAAUUGCUUUGACAUCCCGCCCAAACGUUCAGGUAGCGCAUUGUUGUGUGGUUCACGUCAUAGAUCGUUGAGAACAGCAUGUUUCGAUACAACCUCUGUUUGCCCUUUGCACAUAAUCUGGUUAAGUGAUGCCUUCUGAUUGCUCCAGACGUACUAUUCUUUAUGAUGCUACCGUUUCGCACUGUUGUACACCUACGCUGCCUACAACGUGUGAACAUUAUAUUCACCUUGCUCAGGGACCUGCGAGUCUCCCUAUUGAAGAUUGCGCAGAGAUCUGCGUAUCUCAAUGUAUAAUAUGUUUCUACAAACAACAGAAACCUGCGAGUUUCACACUGUUUACCAACUAAAUGCUUUCAACAUGAAAACACCUUAAUAAAGAGAUUUACAAAAAAUAAAAAAUAACUAUGUUGGUUCAAGUCAAUAUCAAUCAAGUUAGAUUGGGUUGUUUUUAUUUCUUUUUUGUACCUCCAUUACUGCACUCAAAUAUAUCAAGGCUACUAAGUUUAUUAAGAAGUCUACUUUUUUGUUUGUCUGUUUGUCCAUUUCCUAUUUAUAGGUUUGGGCCAGAAGGCAAUAUAAUCUUCUGAUCUCUCUCUCUCUAUUUAUUUAUAAAUAAAUAACUACAUGACAACAAGAAUUUGCUUGCCUUUGCAUUUCCACUGGGGAUCCCACACAGCUGGGAAGUCUGUUAAUUACUACUCCCAAAUCCAUCUCUUUAGAGGAGUGACACGAUAAACAACCAGCUGUUAUAUUUUAGAACACUUAUUUGUCUCCUCAAAAUGUAAAAUUUUACAUGAAAUAACAUGCUGCUUUUUAUUCUAUUGACUUAAUUGUGUGCUAUGUGCAAAACUUGAGACAUUAGUUAAGUGUUCUUGCAUAGCAAGACCACUUAAUGUUAUCUCACAUAUAUAUUAUUAUUAUUAUUAUAGCCAAAUUUGCCACCCUAACUCCUCCCACAGUUUUUACACUACAUAGACAAAAAUUUACCAAAACGUGCAGAUUGUUCCCGAUCGGAUUGCUAUUACUUUGUGGAACGUUUCGCCGAAUGGUUCAUGGAAUAUCGUCGUUCUUGUGGCGAAAUUUGUCCCAUAGGAAUGAAUGGCAAAGCUAGAGUGGGAGCUGGCAAAAGCUGAAAAAUCAGGACAUGAUUUCUAAACUGCCACCACUCCCUUAUUUUCAGGCCCACCUACACAAAUCUUAUAUCAAAACGUUCAGCUAUCCCUGCUGCCACUAGAAAUGUCCAUGGCUAAGCCAUAGUCCUGAUAGAUUUCACAAUAUGACCAUUUGUUUGCAACUCACGCCUUCCAUUGACAUUCAUUGAAACUUCACUCAAGCCAGCUCAAACUUGAAGGGCAAUUUCUAAACUGCGACGGUGCCUUCAUUUGUAAUACUUCAGAGACAUACUAUGCAUCAAAAUGUAGAUAUGGGUCUUGUGAUUCUCACAAUAUAAAGUUCUUCGCUGUAGAAUUUAUAGUUUUUAAAAUACGACCGUUUGAAGAUGGCAACCGCCAAAAUACUCUGACCUGUGCCAGGCUGCAGCAGCAAGUGAUGUCAUAGACAGGGCCUUUUGAACACCUGCUAAUGUUUUUAUAAAUGUAUGGUUUAAUGUAACUGUGCAACAACGUUGCAAUUAAAUGUGCUAUAUAAAUGAUAACAGUUACUCCGCCCACUCCAGUUGUAGACUACUGGUGGAGGCAAGAACACUUCACACAAUUUCCCCAGAAAUUGUAGCUUUUCUAGUUUUAAAAUGUUCUCUUUCAGAUCAUUGCUAAAUUGUAAGUCGAAUACCUAGGGCAGAACCAUGAGUUUAUCACUUUUAUUUUUUUGUCAUUUGACCAGUCAUCCCUAUGUGCUGCAGUAUCAAAAGCCUUUACAAAGUCCAGGUAGGUCUCAUGCAGUCGCCCCUCUAAUUUAUGUAUUGUUUUUAUUUACUGUUUCAUAAAGCAACGUGAAUUAGUUUGGCAUGACCCAUAUACUCAUGGAACCAUUUGCAUUAAACCAGAUGUUUUCUCUUAGUCAAUCCUCAAAUAACUUUCUUCCUGUGGAAGAACAUGGUCUUAUAAGUCUAUAUUUUCCAGGAUCUGGACUAAAGCUGUAACUUUUUUUAUUUAUUUUUUUCAUUUACAUUUUUAUUACACAAAUGUAACUAUGUCAAAUGCUGUAUUUUUAUACCCACAGGCUUUGCAGCUUCUGCACUUUGCCUUGUCCAAACCAGGAAGUGGCUGAUACAUUCGUGAUACUCCAUUUUUUUUUUUUUAUGGGUACCACUUUUUACGACACUGCUGCAAGUUGCAUUUAUUGGAUGAGAUAAAUGGAACUUCUGCAUCUGCUAUCGUCUUACUGACAGCUUAAUUCACAUUUUACUGUCAAAACUCAGGGCAGGUGUCCUCUUGGAUAGCGCGCAUACACUAUAUGCGUUCUACCCAAAACUGUAGUAGAAUAAUGCAAAUCGUGCCCAUUAAGAUUGGUAACAAUGUAAAAGUAUUGUAUGUAUUUAUAUUGUAAAUAUUAUCAUAAUAUUGUAAAGCGCUACGGAAUCUGUUGGCGCUGUAUAAAUGGCAAUAAUAAUGAAUGAUUUUCAAAAAUCCAUACUUUUAUUGGCAAACCUGCUGAGAGAUAUGCUCAAUGUAACAGCAUCUUCUUAAUGAACUUCAGAGUUUUAAAUAUUUUAUCAUAUAUUUAUAAGAGAAAAUCUGUUGUAGCUCAAGUUGAAGUUAUUUGCACAUUUGUUAAAACCUAAUUAAGCGCCACAUAUUGUGAACUAUAUUUGGUGUAUAAAUUACCCAUGAAAAGUCUGUAAAUGUGCCCGGUAAAAUAGCUUUGGAUUUAUUUUUUCCACUAAACACCGAAUUGUUGUGAAUACAAAACAAAAACAAAAUCCAUUGAAGGAAAUACAAGAUUUGAAAAUAAAUCCUGUAACUGGACUAUAGUAACAGAUUGGGAUUUUUACCCUAGCUUUUCAGAAUUUGUUUUCAGUCGAGUACAAUUUGAACAUUUAGUGAAUAAACCCUUUUUGUCUUCUUAGGUGAAUGUGGACUUGUGUGAUUCCAAACCACAUAGUUACAUAGCUGAAAAGAGACUUGCGUCCAUCAAGUUCAGCCUACCUCACAUUUGUUUUUUGCUGUUGAUCCAAAAGAAGGCAAAAAAACCCAGUUUGAAGCACAAUUUUGCAACAAACUAGGAAAAAGUUUGACCCCAGAAUGGCAGUCAGAUUUAUCCUUGGAUCAAGCAGUUAUUACCCUACAUUGAAAGAUUAUAUCCUUGAAUAUUCUGUUCUUGCAAGUAUGCAUCUAGUAGCCGUUUGAACAUCUGUAUGGACUCUGAUAAAACCACUUCUUCAGGCAGAGAAUUCCACAUCCUGAUUGUUCUUACAGUAAAAAAACCUUUCCUUUGCCUUAGACGAAAUCUUCUUUCUUCCAGUCUAAACGCAUGGCCUCGUGUCCUAUGUAAAGUCCGGUUUGUGAAUAGAUUUCCACACAAUGGUUUGUAUUAGCCCCGAAUAUAUUUGUAUAAUGUUAUCAUAUCCCCUCUCAGGCGAUGUUUUUCUAAGCUAAAUAGGUUUAAAUUUGUUAACCUUUCUUCAUAGCCGAUAUGUUCCAUUCCUUUUAUUAAUUUUGUAGCCCGCCUCUGCACUUUUUCUAAUAUCCUUCUUUAGAACAGGUGCCCAAAAUUGCACAGCAUAUUCAAUAUGGGGUCUUACCAGUGAUUUAUAAAGAGGAAAAUUAUAUUCUUGUCCCGAGAAUGAAUGCCCUUUUUCAUGCAUGACAAUACCUUACUGGCCUUGGCCACUGCUGAUUGACAUUGCACAUUGUUGCAUAGUUUGUUGUCUAUAACAAUUCCCAAGUCCUUUUCAUGUGUUGUUAUCCCUAAUUCGCUUCCAUUAAGGGUAUACGUUGCUUGUGUAUUCUUUACGCCGAAGUGCAUAACUUUGCAUUUUUCAACAUUAAAUUUAUCUGCCAUUUGAGUGCCCAGUCCCCCAGUCUAUCUAAAUCCCUCUGCAGCAAAGUAAUAUCUUGCUCACAUUGUAUUAUUUUACAAAGUUUGUGUGUCAUCUGCAAACACUGAAACAUGACUUUCAAUGCGGUCUUCAAGAUCAUUUAUAAACAUGUUAAAUAGAAGGGGUCCCAGAACAGACCCCUGAGGGACACCACUUGCCACCUCUGUCCAGCUUGAAAAUUUACCAUUAAUGACAACUCUUUGUACUCUGUUUUAAAGCCAAUGUUCUACCCAAGAACAAGCAUUUUCAUCUAGACCGAUUUCCUUGAGUUUGAACACUAAUCUAUUGUGUGGAACUGUAUCAAAUGCCUUGGCAAAAUCCAAAUAGAUCACAUCCACGGCAACACCCUGAUCUAUACUUCUACUUACUUCUUCGUAGAACGCAAUCAAGUUAGUUUGACAUGACCUGUGCUUCAUAAAACCAUGCUAAUUUUUGCUGAUAACUAUGUUCUUCUCAAGGAAUCCUUGAAUAUUAUCCCUUAAUAACCUUUCAAAUAUUUUACCAGCCACAGAAGUUAAGCUCACAGGUCUAUAAUUUCCAGGCAAGGAUUUUGAACCCUUUUUGGAUAUAGUGCAUGAUGCAAUUGUUCAUUGGUAUAACUUGAUUACUUAGGACCUACGUUUUCAAAAUCUCAGACUUUUUUUGAGCUACAAAAUAUAUUAUAUGGAAAGUACGUGUUAAUCUUUUCAAAAACAUAAUUUAUUUUUUUUAAUGUAAAUGUUUUUGAGCAGCUACUAAAUAAAUGUUGUCUGCACUCCUUUUUUGGGAAUAUAAAAACUAAAACAUUUUAUAUGCUCUAGUUGUCAGAUUUCCAAUGUAAGUACUUUUAAUUGUAUAUAUUCUUCUUUCAUAUAUUCUGACAUUCACUUGAGNNNNNNNNNNNNNNNNNNNNNNNNNNNNNNNNNNNNNNNNNNNNNNNNNNNNNNNNNNNNNNNNNNNNNNNNNNNNNNNNNNNNNNNNNNNNNNNNNNNNGAUCACUCAAUAUAGGUUUUGUGGUUUCAUCCAUAAUUAAGAGGACAAUCAUAUUUGUCCCAACAGAUGUCAAAAUGUUGUGGGUGCUUGAGUGGUUAAUCCAUUUUNNNNNNNNNNNNNNNNNNNNNNNNNNNNNNNNNNNNNNNNNNNNNNNNNNNNNNNNNNNNNNNNNNNNNNNNNNNNNNNNNNNNNNNNNNNNNNNNNNNNAUGCAUACGUUGUUAAGUUGUGGCUUGCCUCAGAAUUCACAAAGGCAAUAAGUCUCUGUUCCCUAUCUAUGGAAUGCAAAUAACCUUAACAGAGGACAAAAGACCACAUACCUCCUAUCAAAUGGUUUAAAGUGAACCUUCCACUUUUCAGAUUUAUGUCUCAUUUACUCAGUCAUCUGCCUUCUGGUUUUUUUACACUCCACCUUUUGUAGUCACCAAGAUAAAGCGACUUUCCCCAUAGGGCUGAUAAAAAUUUAUGGGACGAGGGAAAAAUGCUGCUGAGGUCAAGAUUUUACCUGUAGGUUGAGUAAAAAGGGACUGAUCCAGUAGGAAGACUAAAGCCUUUCUUUAAAAAAAUAAAAUAAAAUAUUUUUUUAUUUAUUUAAAAUUGUCUUUUUUUUUUCUUCUAAUUCCAGUUCCCUAAGCCAGAUAUCUUCUAAAGUUUAUUUAUCACAUCUAAUGUUCCUUGGGUGUUUUCAUUUACAAAGUUAUCGAAGUAGUGCCAAAAUUAUAUGCCAUGCUCAAUGUUGUUAGUGGAAUAUAAAAUGGCAAAUAAUCCACAAAGUGAGCAGACACUAACUCAGAAUUGAGUUUUGUUAUUGGUUCUAUCCAGUGGCGUCUCUAGGAUUCAUUUUUAGGGGGGGGGGGCACAUGGUGGGCCAGGGACUAAAGUAGGGGGGCACAUUUAACCCCGCCCCUGCCGCAUGUUAAGCCCCGCCCCAACACAAUUUUUUUUUUUUUUUAAUAAUGCCUGGUGGAGAAUUCAUUAUUUUCCUCCAAGGAUUAUUAAAAAUAAACAUUUCCAUUGAUACAGUCCAUACACACACACGCGCACACACACACACAGACUGCGGAGUCCUUACACACAGAGACACACAGACUGCUGAGUCCUUACACACAGAGACAUACAGACUGCUGACCACACACUCACAGACUGCUGAGUCCAUACAAACACAGACACACAGACUUCGGAGUCCAUACACACAGACUUCGGAGUCCAUACACACAGACUUCGGAGUCCAUACACACACACACAGACUGCUGAGUCCAUACAUACACAUAUACACACACACACACAGAGACAGACUGCUGAGCAUAUCAAGCCUAUCUGUUGCUGGGGGUCAGACAGACAUCUUCUUGUCUUUCCAGAAGCAGCAUGGUCUGCUGCUUAACGGCAGGGGAGGGGCUUAUGUGUGGGAGGCGGGGCUUUGUUUGGGGACAGGGCCUUGCAGGGGAGCCUGUCAGUGCUCCCUCCGGCCACAGACAGCCCCCAGCACCGUUCCAGCUGAGCUCCUCUGCCCUGCAUUCCCUCCCCCGGGGCUGUAACACACUGUAACAGCCCAAGGGAAUAGAAUGUAAGAACAUGGACAGCAAGUUGCCGCAUUUGGGGGGCCCAAGAGAGGGCACAACAUGAUGUAGGGGAGGCCAUGGCCCCCCCCCUAGCGACGCCACUGGUUGUAUAUAUGAUGUGCAUAACCUCUCUGAUAUGUGCAUAACCUCUCUGAUAUUAUGUAUAUAAUGUUUAAAGAAACUGAAUGAAACAAAAAUAAUAGUAAAGAUAAAUAUGUAAAAAUAAAUCCCCUUUUUACCUUGUUCAACCCUUUGGAUAGACUUAAAAAUAUAAAAUUCUAAACUGUGAGCAGUUUAUCCCUUGAGGCUUUUGUUCAUUUGAAUUUAACUAGGAUUUGAGGUGCAUAAAGUGUGGUGCUUCUCCCUUGACUGGCACUCCUUAUAAACAGGUCAGUAAGCACUUAUCACCUUAGCCCCAAGUCACCAUACAUCCCUGCAUGAAUGCCUUUUAAUUUUACUCGGUUCUACCCACCCUGGUUCCUUCUAACUAUAUAGCAUGCUCUUCCAGCUGUUUGGAACCAUAGCCAAUCACGCCCUCAUUCCCUUUACAUGCUAUCAGCUGCUGCAGUUAUACUAUUAACUCUAUCUGCUAUCACAUACAAAUCCCUCUGCUACCUUUUGUCUCCUCUCCCCAGUUUAACCUUUAGAUUGUAAGCUCACGGGCAGGGUCCUCUACCUGUUCUAUCAGUUGCGCUGUGGAAUUUGUUGGCACUUUAUUAAUGCCAGUAAUACCUAGAAAAUAUAUAGAGGUGAUUGGUUAUUACUAAAUACUAGUAGAAAGGCAAGAUUGAUUAUUGCUAAGCAUUAGCAGCCUGAGAUGAUUGGUCAUGGCUAGGUAUUAGUAGACAGGGGCAAUUAGUUAUUGCUAAGCAAAAGUAGGCAGAGAUAAUUGAUUAUUGCUGAGCACUAGAGGUGCUCACGUUAUCUUAAUUUUUGCAAAGCUAUGUUUGGCAUGGAAAAUAUCACAACAGCCAUUCAUUGUUGACACCUUUUCAUUAAAGGACCACUCUAGGCACCCAGACCACUUCAGCUACUGCGGCGAUCGCGGGGGUUAAUGGUGCUCCGGUCUGCCUCUGUAUUAGAGGAAGACCGGGAGCACCCAGUCAGGCUGUCCAGCACAUGUGCUCACUCUGCACUUUCUGUUUCUGUGUGAAGUGCAGGGAGCCAGAACAGUGCUCAUCCUGCACCCUGUAGGAAAAAAAAAAUAAAGUUUAUUUAAAGUCCCACCCCCCCUUUACCCAUUGUAAUAAAAAAAUGAACCCCUUCCCUGCCAAUUGAUCACUGAUUACAGUGAUCAAUUGGCAGGGAUUACAUUUUACUAUGAUCUGAUUUUUUUUUUUUUUUUUUUUUAACCCCUGAGGGUUAAUUCUUUUUUUUUCUUCUUUUUUUAACCCUAUAUUUAGCUAGCUGGGGUGGGUGGAAUUUAGUGGGGAAUUGGGGGAUUUGGCGUUAGGCUAACUAGGGGUUAACGUUAAAAAAUGUUUUAAAAUAAACUUUAAAAAGUUAAAAAUUAAGCUUAAAAAAAAGUUUUAAUAACGUUUAAGUAAAAAUUUAAAAAAACAUCCCCCUUUAUAACUAUAUAUUUUGUUAGUUGGGGUGGGUGGGAGUUAUGGGAAAAUGGGGAAUUUACUGUUAGUGCUGCUUACUGCUAGUUAGGGGUUAACGGUAAAAAAAAAAGCUUUAAAAAAAUGUUAAAUCUGUAAAAAAGUUUUAAGAAAGUUUAGGAAAGUUUAAAAAAAAUUAAUAAGCAAAACAAAAGUUUAAAAACUAGUUUUUAAAAGUAAAAAAGUUUAAAAAAAUAAAUUUUUAAAACGCUCAUUACCACUACACCUGGAACAAACUAGAGAAAAAAAUUUAUCCCAUGCCAAGGUUCAAAAUAUGCCUUUUGAAUUACCCCAGGGUGUAUUUUUUUAAUAAAUAAUGUGUUUGUGGGGAAGUUUCAAUAACCAACCGUCUAAACUACUCUAAAUUGGAACAUGGACACAGCGUAAAACUUCAAAGUUAGAAAAAAACUGGCUGCGUCUCAAAUGCGCCCCUUUAACAUCCACAUAUACCUGGCAAAGGUACAUAUGGGGGUAUUGCUGUACUCAGCCGACAUAGCUGAGCAAAAUAUGAAGUAUUAUACAGUCAUAGCACACAUAAGGUUUGCAAAAUAUACUGCGCAAACUCACUUUGUAUGUCAAAAAGGCAGAAAAAAUGCUUAUUACCACUACACUUGGUACAAGCUAGCGGAAAAAUGAUCCCACGCUAAGGUUCAAAAUAUGCCUUUUGGAAUACCCUGGGAUGUCUUCUUUAAGAAAUGGUAUGGCUUUAUGGGGUAUUUGGAUUAUAUAGCCUGNNNNNNNNNNNNNNNNNNNNNNNNNNNNNNNNNNNNNNNNNNNNNNNNNNNNNNNNNNNNNNNNNNNNNNNNNNNNNNNNNNNNNNNNNNNNNNNNNNNNGUAAAAUACUCUAAAAUGGGACAUGGGCACAGCCUAAAAAUUUAAAGUUUGAAAAAAACUGGAAUGGCUGUGUCCAAAAUGUGCCCCUCCUAUGUCCACAUAUACCUGGCAAAGGUACAUACGGGGGUAUUGCUGUACUCAGCCAACNNNNNNNNNNNNNNNNNNNNNNNNNNNNNNNNNNNNNNNNNNNNNNNNNNNNNNNNNNNNNNNNNNNNNNNNNNNNNNNNNNNNNNNNNNNNNNNNNNNNCUCUGCCUGUGAUACAAUUACUGAACACAAUGGGCUAACGUAAUUAUCACAGGCAGGAAAAUACACAGUUUUGCACAAUAUUCAUAACUUUAAAAGUACAAAUCACAUUACAUUACAUUUUCAGAGUCAGCAUACUCCAAAUACAAACAUGUCAAAAUCAUACAAACUGGUCCAGUGGGUCAAAAUCAUACAAACUGGUCCAGUGGGUCAAAAGUUAGUUGGCCAAUUGCAAGCAUGGCUUGGGUGUGGUAAGCCAAUUAUCUCCAGCAUACCGAAAAUAUCUCCAUUUACAACAACAGAAAAACACACAAAAAUACAUAAUUCCUAUCAUACUGAACAGAACCCCCACAUUCAACCUAUCCCCAGAUAGCUUGGAUCUGAGUGCUCACUAUAUCACUGAACAGCGCUCAGAUCCCACGAACACAGUCAAAUCGCCAUGGGGUUUAACCACAGCAAGGGCUGAUGAGAGAAAGAGGAAGGGCAAAACAGCAAGUUCCAACUGGUCUGGCAGUGUCCCUGGGUCAACGCCCUGCUGGAGAACAAUAGACAGGAAACGGGGGAGGGGCACACCUUCCCAUGUAUUCAAAGUGGUAGAAAAAGUGUUUCAGAAUCCAAUAAGCCGAAAAAGGUUUCUUAAAGGGCAAUACAUUUCAGGGGACAUAGUCACAGGGCAGGAGGCUGGUAAUCAGUCUUCUCCAAUGCCCAGUGGCGAGGCUGGUUCCGCCACACUGUGCUUUUUGCCUUCUUUUGGAUCAAUUAAAUUGAGUCCAUAGAUUGCUAUCUAUAUACACACAUUAAAAAAAAUCUAAUUUGUUCUUUUGAAGAAAAAACAUAUGUAUCCCAAGUGUGUGCACUUUAAGGAACACUCACACCCUCAUAAAACCUUCAGUUUACUGAUAUUGUUGUGGGGGAAGGAGUGUAGGGGUGUCAUCUUACCUUACCUGCUUAGCAACUGUUUGAUUGUGAUGUUGGGGCUCCGGCGCCCGAAACAGCUGCACAUGGAUCCACCUAUGCCACUGCAGUGUGAGGAAGGUUUGUCCAGGUAUCCUGUGACAGACUGAUAGUUGAACAAAAUUGUGGUCCAGGCACUCUAGGAUCUGUCGAACAGCAGGUUUAUUUAGAAAGGUGCAACGUUUUGAUCUCACAAGGGGUUUUUCUCAAGUGGAUAGCUGACAUGCUCAACCUACCAAUGGCCGCCCAUACUGCCAGUGCGAGACCAGAAAGAAAGACAGUAUAAAUGGCCACCCAUUGAGAAAAAUAGUACUAGAGACACAUGCUCAGCAGAUCACCGGAUGCCUGGCUAAACAUAAUAAAGCAACUAAAACUAGGAAGGAACCUGGGGCCAGCCACAACUCUAGAUUAAACUUUUUUUUUUUUUUUUGUUUUUUAAAACAUUGAAAUUAAGAAAGUACCAGGGAGAGCUGAAGUUAUGUGAGUGGGAUUAUCAUGUUUACAAGAAAGUAUUAAAUUAUGAAUAAGCAUAGUUUGCAAAAAAACGCCCAAACCAUUGAUGAACAGAUAAACAGAAAAACCUAUGGUUUUAUUUCCACACUUCAGUACUUUUGAUGACAAAAAACAAAAAAAAAAGUUUAAAAAAGUUUGGAAAAAGUCACAUGAACUAAAGCAACAUGCAACCUCUUACUACACACAUUUCUAACUGUACAUACAUACCUCUCAAAGUCUAAAACCACAGAGCUUGUGGUUUAUAGAACUCCUGUCACCUAUUCCUGUAUAAAAAAAAAGAUUAUAACUGCAGAUAUAUCUAUGUUCAAAAUUACUCCUUUGCAAUAAGCAAGGAGUGUUCGGGGGUGUAAAAGUACAAGCGUAUCUUACCUAAAGGUAAACUAAUAGAAAAGUAUUGCACGUAGAAUUUUUCAAUAUCCGGAGAUGAAAACUGCUGCAAGAUUAUCCACAUAUAUCUCUGACCUGCAAGCAAAGAUAACCGGGUGGAAAGAAUAACUAGAUUUUGCAAUUAUACAUAUUUUUUAUUUUAUUUAUUUUUUUUAAAUGUAAGAAAUGGUUAUUUGUCUGUAUUACAGUGUCAUUGUACAUAACAUGUAUUAAAGGUUGUAUUGUUUGGGUUAUUUACGUAUUGGCAACCAUGCUAAACAUAUUUAAAAUUUGGAGGCUCAGCCAGUGAACAUUAAAGAGAACCAUGCAGAUAUGGCACAGUGCACUCCUGCACUGCUCCAAUGACAGAGCUUGUGCUGGGAUCUUGUCCUGCUAGGACUCCUCCUGCAAAGUCACAUUAUGAUCGCAGCCUGCCCCAUCACUUAUAACGCGGGAGGAUAUGAGAAGCAAAGAAGGAAAAUUCUACUCAUUCAUUUAAGGAGCUAUUCUCGAACGUUAAACUGCACAAUUUCAAUUUGUUUGCAUUUUUCUUCACCCCUUUACAGAUAGGGAAUAUUUGUAAAACAGAGGGGGAUGCAUAUAGUUUAUAUAGGUUUAUAAAUUUAUGCAGUACAUUUUUUGUUAAUAAAUUCAGUGGAGAACAUAUGGACUGCAGAUAAGACCAGCUGGCAGAAGUCUCCUGACAUUUUUGAGUAUUAUAACUUUGCAAUAUACUUUUCAUUGGGUUAAUCUUUAACAUAAGGGUUUGUUUACUUUCUGGGUUGGAUGAUAUUUUUCAUUUAUUAAACUUGUAUAAUUGAGAAGUAAAGUAAGAGUAUUUAGGUUUAGUCACCCUAAAAGAUAAUCCAGACAAAGUACAAUGCAUGGUUUGCGACACAGUGAUUCAGUCCCUUGAAAUAGAGAACCUUUGUAUUAUAGUACACGUGGGGUAGACUGCCUACACAGUGCAAGACAAAAUAUUCCAAAUCAGACUUAAUCCCUUAAAGAAGGAGGCAACUGUACAAUUUUUAAUCAAAACAAAACCAGGAAUUUGAGCGAUGGGUCUGUUCAACUAUAAGUUGCCUAUUUCAUAUUACGUGUACCCACACAUAUAUUACUUGGUUUAGGAUAAACAGGGCUUUCGUCUCACAUACAAUAUUUAUAUAUGAAACAUAAUUUAAUAUGAAUAAAAUCUACUUUUUUUCCCCCUCACAGGAAAACCAAAAUGUUCUCACACAAUUCAGGUAAUUUCAAGUUAUUCACUAGACUCUGAAUUGUACCAAAUUAAAAUCUAAAUAACAAAAUUAAAGGCUAAAAGCUUUGACUAUUUUUUUCUGAUAUUUCUUCAAUUUUGUCAUUUGGAUUUUAAUUUUUUACAAUCCAGAGUUGAAUGAAUGACUCUGCAUGCAUUAUUAAGUUAUUAGAACAAAGAAAUACCCUUUAAAUAGUACUGAAAAUAUAUAUCAAAAGGUUUUAAAUGGCAUCAAAAGAAAGAUUUAAAUAAAGCAUGCCCUAGGGCGUCUCUUUAAUGGCCAGGAAACUCCAGUGGGUAAACUUCUUCCUAUGUUCUAGACUGUGCAUGUGUGUGUAGACGUAAGUAUGUUGGAUCAGCUGAGGAAGUCUUGAGGCGUAACAUGAAACAGUACAAAGAUUAACAUCUUAAAGAGACACUCCAGACCCCUAACGCACCUUAGCUUGCUUAGUAGCUUUUUGGGAAAUGAGUCUGUACUUUUUUCAUUUUGCAAAAAGUGCAGAUUUCAAUAGAAAUUGACAAUUCUAUAAAUUAAUCUGGUUACACCCCCCUGGCUAUGAGUCAGAUAACUGUUCUUGUUACUUCCUGGUUGUUAAGCUCAGUGGAGCUAGACUCCAGAUGCAGCAAUUACCCAGAGAUCCUGCCUUGCAAAGACUUCUCAUUGAGCUGCAUUUGUAAAGUCUGUGAUUGGACAGCCAAAUAAAGUCUGGGCGGGGUUAGAAAGGGAGGGCUUGCAAAGGCAGCAGAUAAGAGAUCUACAAUUUUUGCAAGCUGUUUUUAGAUAUACCAUUAAUGGAAAAAAAAUUAUAACUGAAUACAUGCAAGUUUUUAUAUGGGAUAUACCUACUAAACAGUGAUUUUUUUGUAUGUGGAUAGUGGAGUGCCCCUUUAAUUAAGGACCAAUAACAAAUGCGUCCCAACAAACCAACCUUUUAUGAUCCUAUAUUAACCCCCUUAAGGACAGAGCUUCAAAAGCUUGUCUUUCACUUAAUGACAACAGCAUUUUUUUCAUUUGUUUGCUGUUUGCAUUCAACUGCAAUUUGCAUUUUACUAAUUUGUUGCACCAACACAUAUUAUACAUCGUUUUUUAAAGGACAGAAAGGGCUUUAAUUUGAUGUAACACACAUAUAUAUAAAUGCUUAUUUAUUAUAAAAAAAAAUACAGAAAAAUGUAAAAAAAAGAAAAUUUUGUGUUUUUCUUUUACAGUUUUUGCAAUAAUAAUGUGUGCAUAAUUAGUGCAGGUUAAGAAAAGUAAUUAAAAAUAAAUUCAUUUAGUUGUUCUGAUUUACAGAAUAUAUAAUGUGUCUGAGAUUUUAAGGUUCUUUUUGGUAGUUACAGGUCACAAAGCACAAGGAGUAAACUAAACCUUUAAUGUUGAGCGAUUUUAGAAUUUGGUAUGUUUGUCUUGUAAGCUUAAUAGCCAUAAAAGAAAACAAAAUUGCCACACAAAAGUAUAUAUUUAUAUAAAGUAGACAUCACGGGCUAUUUACCUAAGGUUGUUUUGACACUUUCUACAUAGCCAUUUCACCGCCAACCUCUGCUAAAUAUUGGAGUAAAAUUGUGGGGGUUUUUUGUUUUUGGGCACACAAACUUAUAACAAACAAAUUCUCAUGUAUAUUUUGUAAAGUUGGUGUGUGCUAUUCCUGUAAAAAAGAUUUAUUUUGUGUUCAGUUACAUCUGCUGAGUAAAAUGACACCCCCAUUGUAUGUCUUUGGCACUAUUCCGUGAAGUUAAAGUGCCAUUUAGGAGACCUGUCAUUUUCAGUAUUCACGGUAGAAUUUUGAGAGAUGGAUUUAAUGAGCCUUAGCUUCCAUUUGGGGUAUUAUAACAGUUUGACUGUUCAAAAAAAACUCACAAAUGCCUACCAUUUGUAAAAGUAGACACUCCAGGGUAUCUCAUAAGGUGCAUAUUGUGCCUUAACGUGCCCCCAUUUUUUCACCAAUAUAUGCCAAAGUAUGUGGUAAAAAAAUAAUUUGGUGCAUUUUUUACAUACGGAUUGCAUUUUUGCUGGGCGUUUUGUAUAUUUCAUAUGUGCCACUAAGUUCAAAUCCCCCAAAUUAUGCUCAGCUAAGUCUUCUGAGUAAAAGUACACCCCCAUUGUAUGUCUUUGGCACUAUUUCGUGAAGCUACAGUGCCAUAUAGGAGACCAAGUCAUAUCCGUUUUUACCGAACUUUGAAUUUUGACACUGGGCCUAUGUGCAAUUUCCAAGCAUCUUCACAGGUUUUAAAUUCAAAUUACCCCACAAAGGCCUACCAUUUCUUAAAGCAGACACCCCAGGGUAUUUCAAAAGGUAUAUUUUGAACCUUAGCAUGGGAUCAUUUUUCCGCUAGCUUGUACCAGAUGUAGUAGUAAUAAGCGUUUUUUCUGCCUUUUUGACAUACAAAGUGAGUUUGCACAGUAUAUUUUGCAAACCUUAUAUGUGCUACGACUGUAUAAUACUGCAUAUGUUGCUCAGCUAUNNNNNNNNNNNNNNNNNNNNNNNNNNNNNNNNNNNNNNNNNNNNNNNNNNNNNNNNNNNNNNNNNNNNNNNNNNNNNNNNNNNNNNNNNNNNNNNNNNNNUUGAUCGCUGUAGGCAGUGAUCGACUGGCAGGGAAGGGGUUAAUUUUUAUUUGGACUAGGUAAAGUGUGUUUUGUUUUUUUUACUUAAAUGUUAUUAAAACAUUUUUUUAAGCUUAAUUUUUAACUUUUUAAAGUUUCUUUUAAAACUUUUUUAACGUUAACCCCUAGUUAGCCUAACGCCAAAUCCCCCAAUUCCCCACUAACUUCCACCUACCCCAGCUAGCUAAAUAUAUAAUUAAAAAAUAAUUUAAUUAAUUAAUUUAAUUAAUUUAACUCCUGAGGGUUAAAAAAAAAAGAAUUAACCCUCAGGGGUUAAAAAAUAAAUAAAUCAGAUCAUAGUAAAAUGUAAUCCCUGCCAAUUGAUCACUGUAGUCAGUGAUCAAUUGGCAGGGAAGGGGUUAAUUUUUUAUUAAAAUGGGUAGGGGGGGGGGGACUUUAAAUAAACUUUAUUUUUUUUUACAGCAGGGGGCAGGAUCAGCACUGAUCCGGCUCCCUGCACUUCACACAGAACCCGGAAGUGCAGGGAGCCCGUAGGUGAGUAUAGAGAGCACAUGUGCUCGCUCUGACUUGCGGUCAGAGCGAGCACAUGUGCUGGGCAGACUGACCGGGUGCUCCCGGUAUGCCUCUAAUGCAGAGGCAUACUGGGAGCACCAUUAACCCCGCGAUCGCCGCGAUAGCGGCGAUCCGGGGUUAAUUUUACCGCGUGACGGACGAGGUCCGUCACCCGUCGUUAAGGGUCUCCCCUCUGUGACGGACCUCGUCCGUCACCCGUCCUGAAGGGGUUAAGCUUACAAGACAAACAUACCAAAUUCUAAAAUCGCUCAACAUUAAAGGUUUAGUUUACUCCUUGUGCUUUGUGACCUGUAACUACCAAAAAGAACCUUAAAAUCUCAGACACAUUAUAUAUUCUGUAAAUCAGAACAACUAAAUGAAUUUAUUUUUAAUUACUUUUCUUAACCUGCAAAAAAAAAAAACCCACAAAAUUUUAAAUUAUUUUUUUUUAUAUAUUUUUUUAUAAUAAAUAAGUAUUUAUAUAUAUGUGUGUUACAUCAAAUUAAAGCCCUUUCUGACCUUUAAAAAAACGAUGUAUAAUAUGUGUUGGUGCAACAAAUUAGUAAAAUGCAAAUUGCAGUUGAAUGCAAACAGCAAACAAUUAAAAAAAAAUGCUGUUGUCAUUAAGUGAAUGACAAGCUUUUGAAGCUCUGUCCUUAAGGGGGUUAAUAUAGGAUCAUAAAAGGUUGGUUUGUUGGGACGCAUUUGUUAUUGGUCCUUAAUUAAAGGGGCACUCCACUAUCCACAUACAAAAAAAUCACUGUUUAGUAGGUAUAUCCCAUGUAAAAACUUGCAUGUAUUCAGUUAUAAUUUUUUUUCCAUUAAUGGUAUAUCCAAAAACAGCUUGCAAAAAUUGUAGAUCUCUUAUCUGCUGCAUUUGCAAGCCCUCCCUUUCUAACCCCGCCCAGACUUUAUUUGGCUGUCCAAUCACAGACUUUACAAAUGCAGCUCAAUGAGAAGUCUUUGCAAGGCAGGAUCUCUGGGUAAUUGCUGCAUCUGGAGUCUAGCUCCCCUGAGCUUAACAACCAGGAAGUAACAAGAACAGUUAUCUGACUCAUAGCCAGGGGGGUGUAACCAGAUUAAUUUAUAGAAUUGUCAAUUUCUAUUGAAAUCUGCACUUUUUGCAAAAUGAAAAAAGUACAGACUCAUUUCCCAAAAAGCUACUAAGCAAGCUAAGGUGCGUUAGGGGUCUGGAGUGUCUCUUUAAGAUGUUAAUCUUUGUACUGUUUCAUGUUACGCCUCAAGACUUCCUCAGCUGAUCCAACAUACUUACGUCUACACACACAUGCACAGUCUAGAACAUAGGAAGAAGUUUACCCACUGGAGUUUCCUGGCCAUUAAAGAGACGCCCUAGGGCAUGCUUUAUUUAAAUCUUUCUUUUGAUGCCAUUUAAAACCUUUUGAUAUAUAUUUUCAGUACUAUUUAAAGGGUAUUUCUUUGUUCUAAUAACUUAAUAAUGCAUGCAGAGUCAUUCAUUCAACUCUGGAUUGUAAAAAAUUAAAAUCCAAAUGACAAAAUUGAAGAAAUAUCAGAAAAAAAUAGUCAAAGCUUUUAGCCUUUAAUUUUGUUAUUUAGAUUUUAAUUUGGUACAAUUCAGAGUCUAGUGAAUAACUUGAAAUAACUUGAAUUGUGUGAGAACAUUUUGCUUUUCCUGUGAGGGGGAAAAAAGUAGAUUUUAUUCAUAUUAAAUUAUGUUUCAUAUAUAAAUAUUGUAUGUGAGACGAAAGCCCUGUUUAUCCUAAACCAAGUAAUAUAUGUGUGGGUACACGUAAUAUGAAAUAGGCAACUUAUAGUUGAACAGACCCAUCGCUCAAAUUCCUGGUUUUGUUUUGAUUAAAAAUUGUACAGUUGCCUCCUUCUUUAAGGGGUUAAGUCUGAUUUGGAAUAUUUUGUCUUGCACUGUGUAGGCAGUCUACCCCACGUGUACUAUAAUACAAAGGUUCUCUAUUUCAAGGGACUGAAUCACUGUGUCGCAAACCAUGCAUUGUACUUUGUCUGGAUUAUCUUUUAGGGUGACUAAACCUAAAUACUCUUACUUUACUUCUCAAUUAUACAAGUUUAAUAAAUGAAAAAUAUCAUCCAACCCAGAAAGUAAACAAACCCUUAUGUUAAAGAUUAACCCAAUGAAAAGUAUAUUGCAAAGUUAUAAUACUCAAAAAUGUCAGGAGACUUCUGCCAGCUGGUCUUAUCUGCAGUCCAUAUGUUCUCCACUGAAUUUAUUAACAAAAAAUGUACUGCAUAAAUUUAUAAACCUAUAUAAACUAUAUGCAUCCCCCUCUGUUUUACAAAUAUUCCCUAUCUGUAAAGGGGUGAAGAAAAAUGCAAACAAAUUGAAAUUGUGCAGUUUAACGUUCGAGAAUAGCUCCUUAAAUGAAUGAGUAGAAUUUUCCUUCUUUGCUUCUCAUAUCCUCCCGCGUUAUAAGUGAUGGGGCAGGCUGCGAUCAUAAUGUGACUUUGCAGGAGGAGUCCUAGCAGGACAAGAUCCCAGCACAAGCUCUGUCAUUGGAGCAGUGCAGGAGUGCACUGUGCCAUAUCUGCAUGGUUCUCUUUAAUGUUCACUGGCUGAGCCUCCAAAUUUUAAAUAUGUUUAGCAUGGUUGCCAAUACGUAAAUAACCCAAACAAUACAACCUUUAAUACAUGUUAUGUACAAUGACACUGUAAUACAGACAAAUAACCAUUUCUUACAUUUAAAAAAAAUAAAUAAAAUAAAAAAUAUGUAUAAUUGCAAAAUCUAGUUAUUCUUUCCACCCGGUUAUCUUUGCUUGCAGGUCAGAGAUAUAUGUGGAUAAUCUUGCAGCAGUUUUCAUCUCCGGAUAUUGAAAAAUUCUACGUGCAAUACUUUUCUAUUAGUUUACCUUUAG
rnacentral:lncRNA from 1 species